GGUGUCUCCUGUGGCCGCCGCCAUCCCAACCGGGUCACGGCCCUCGACCUCACGUCUCUCCGCCUAGCCGGUCUCAUAUCGCCCUCCGUAGCCAACCUCACAUUCAUCCAGAGGAUCGACCUGUCCGACAACAUGCUAGACGGGAGCAUCCCAGAGGAGCUAGGAAGCCUACGCCGGCGGCUGCGAUAUCUCAACCUGAGUGUGAAUUCUCUUCGCGGAACGAUCCCGUCUUCGCUCGGCAAUUGCUCAAAUCUUCAACUACUCAACUUGACAGAUAAUAAGCUCAAUGGUGAGAUCCCGCCGACCCUAUCGCGUCUUUCCGGUCUUAGAAAGCUUAUCCUGCGUUGGAACAUGUUACAAGGAGCAAUCCCUUCCAAUCUAACACUGUGUCAAGAGCUUCAGGUUAUUGAUCUAAGUCAUAACAUUCUCACGGAAGAAAUUCCACCAGAGCUUGGCUAUCUCCAAAAGCUAAGAGGGUUAGCACUCAGCUACAAUAAUCUUACAGGAGCCAUCCCUGCUACUUUGGGCAAUCUUGCUCAGCUUCAAUACCUUUAUCUACAAUUCAAUAGCUUUAUUGGACCCAUCCCAGAUUCAAUUGGCAACCUCUCCUCCCUACAAUUUCUUCUUUUAGAUGAUAAUAGCCUGUCAGGACCCAUGCCUCCAUCCUUUGGUAGCCUUCUCUCCUUGAAGAUACUUGAAAUCGAAUUCGCUGGUCUCACAGGAACCAUUCCGCCCACUCUCACAAAUCUCUCCGCUCUGAACGAGCUUGCACUACGAGGAAACAACCUUCAUGGUGAAAUUCCUCACUUUGCGAAACUUCCAUUCCUCUCUAUCUUGGACUGUGCUGUUAAUUAUCUCUCAGGGACGAUCCCAAUCUCGCUCGGACGACUUUCAUCUCUCCAAUAUCUCAAUCUCGGGAUGAACAACUUAACAGGGGAAAUACCGUCAUCCCUUUACAAUCUAUCAUCCCUGACGGCCUUAGUACUCCCUCAUAACCAACUCAAGGGAACUCUACCCUACGAUAUCGGAAAUGCACUUCCGAACCUUCAAUUGCUUCUUAUGUAUGAGAAUCAGCUCGGGGGGCGAAUUCCGGCAUCCUUGUCCAAUGCUUCUGAGCUCAACAACAUUGAGCUAUCGGUCUAUGCAUUCCACGGCACGAUACCGCCGAGCCUUGGAGCCUUGCAGAGUCUCUCGUGGCUCGAAUUGUUCAGUAAUCUACUCGAAGCCAAAAAGCCUAGUGAUUGGAGCUUCGUUACAGCAUUGAACAACUGCACCAGUCUCCAAGUCUUGGAUCUAGGAGACAAUCUACUUCAAGGCAUGAUGCUCAAAUCAAUAGUCAAUCUUUCCACUAGUCUUAAUAUUUUGGCACUAGAAGACAACCAACUAUCAGGAAUUAUACCUGCUGAGAUUGAGAAGCUCAUCAAUCUAACUGUCCUUGACGUGAGUGGUAACAACCUUCGAGGCACCGUUCCCGUAGAAAUCGGUCAUCUUAGGCAACUACAGCUUUUAGAUCUGUCAAAUAACAUGCUUUCGGGCGAAAUUCCUCCCACUUUGGGCAACCUAACACGAAUGGACAAACUCUAUCUCGACAGCAACGAAUUUGAAGGAGCCAUUCCGCCGACAUUAAGCAACAUGUUAAUGCUAGAGUUGUUAAAUCUAUCAAAUAAUAGGCUAAGCGGUAGCAUUCCGAAAGAAGUUUUGAGCCUUUCGUCGCUCGCGAGCUUCCUUGACUUGUCACAUAAUUUACUAAACGAUUCAUUACCAUUAGAAGUGGGCAACUUGAUAAAUAUCAGGGAGCUUGAUCUCUCAAAUAAUAGGCUCUCUGGUGAGAUUCCAGACACCAUUGGCAAAUGCGCAAUCUUGGAAAUCCUUCAUCUAGCGAAUAACUUAUUUCAAGGGUCCAUUCCUUCUUCCUUGAGCAAUUUAAGAGGGCUCAAGGAGCUUGAUGUCUCAAAAAACUUCUACUCGGGCCAAAUACCCGCAUUCCUUGAUGAGCUCCCAGAUCUACGAAACUUGAAUCUCUCCUUCAACAGUUUUGAGGGUCGAGUGCUGAUGAAAGGGGUUUUUACGAAUGUGAGCGAAGUCUCGCUUAUCGGAAACCCUAAACUCUGUGGCGGAAUUCCAGAAUUACACUUGCCGAAAUGCACUUCAGAUGCCUUUGCAGCAAAACGUCACUCUGAUUAUAAACUCAAGGUAAUACUCAUUCCCAUAGGUGGAGCAAUUUUGUGUUUGAUUAUAAUCAUGUGCUUGCGUGGGAUACAUCACUUGAUAAAAAACUCCCGGAGAAAGCCGAUGUCAAGGUCUUCCUUAAGAAACCGACACACGAAAGUAUCUUACAAUGAGCUCUUCAAGGCUACACAUGGGUUCUCCUCAGAUAAUCUGAUCGGCAUGGGCAGUUUUGGGUCGGUUUAUAAAGCCGCCAUGAACUAUGAAAAUGCCGACAUUGUUGCGGUGAAAGUGUUUAACCUUCAACAGCAUGGGGCUUUCAGGAGUUUUAUGUCUGAAUGUGAGGCCUUGAGAAGCAUUCGACAUCGAAAUAUUGUCAAAAUUCUUACAUCAUGCUCUAGUUUGGAUCACCACGGUAACGAUUUCAAGGCCUUGGUUUUUGAGUACAUGCCUAAUGGGAGCUUAGAAGAGUGGCUACAUCCAAAUGCACGCGGGAAUAGGCCAUUCAGAAGCCUAAGCCUAAUCCAGAGGUUGAACAUAGCCAUCGACGUAGCCUCGGCAUUAGAGUAUCUUCAUCACCGAGGGUCUGUGCCGAUUGUUCACUGUGAUCUUAAGCUGAGUAACAUCCUUCUAGACAACGAAAUGACAGCGCACGUGAGCGAUUUUGGGUUAGCAAAGUUUCUGCGGCAACCGCCUGAUGAAUCAUCUCGGUGUUCAUCUACCGGCACUGUGGGGAUCAAAGGAUCUAUUGGUUAUGUUCCUCCAGGUGUGAAAUAUGCAAUGGAAUGCUAACUUUUUUCUUGCUUUACACCAUUUCAGAAAAAAAAUAUAACACAUUUUUAUUUGAUUCCUAACUACAUCCAAUAUUUUUUGCUGCUCACUAUCUUUUGAAGCAAAAACAAGUGAAUAGCAUAAGUUUAAUAAAUAAUAUGAUAAAUUGAGUGUAUUAAUUAGUAGAAAAGGGGAAAAAAAUAUUGUAGGAAACAAAAAGGAUACUACAUUUUAGCCACGAAAACUGACAUACUAGAGUUAGAAUUAACAGCUCGAUGCUUACUACUAAAAACUAAUUACUUAUGAUCACUAAACACGCAAGAGCUGGAACUUUAUUUCUACAUAUCUGAUGCUAUUUUAGAGUCAAUUUAUAAACUAAAAGAUCAAACUUAGUUUUUGUAACUAUGGCUUGGAAACAAUAGGAACCAAAUCCAAACCCAAAUGAAUUCACCUGACAAUCUUGUAUUAUCUGUUUCCAACUAACUAAUGUUGUGCAGAGUAUGGAAUGGGCUGUAAACCGUCUAGGCUCGAUGUGUACAGCUAUGGAAUUCUUCUGCUGGAGAUGUUCACUGGAAUGAGCCCCGUCGACGACAAGUUCAAAGACGGACUGAGCCUUCGUGGAUAUGUUCGUGCUGCUGCUGCUGCUUCUCCUGAACAUGUCAUGGACAUCGUAGACAGAAACCUGCACUCAGCUGAUAAUGAUAUAGCUUAUCGAGAAGAGCGUGUGCGAGAUUGCGUAGUUUCGGUGUUCGACUGCGGUCUCUCGUGCUCGAACGAAUCGCCAUACGAACGAUGCGACAUGACAAAAGUCUUAAAGGAGCUGAGUGCAGCAAGAGAGAGGUUUCUUAGGUAAAAGAAGUUUUGCUCCCUAUGCUAUGGUUCUCACUAGAGGCAAAUGAAUGCUGGUUUGAUCAUCCUCUGCUUUUCCUUAUUUUACAUUUAAAAAAUAACUUUGUGUCAUGCAAAUGCCUAGUCCUUAUGGUUUUGAUCACUCCUUUCUAAAAUGAAUACAACCAAAAGGAGACAAGCACUUCAAAAUUUGCAUCUGUAUACAUUAAUAGCUUCAAAUUCCUAAUUUCUGGCUCAAGUUUAUAACUGACGCCUAAUGAAAACACUUUUAAACAGAAAGCUCCAACCCCCUUUUUUUUUUUUUUUGAGGAAACAGGGGUAUACCCUAUUUAGACAGGAAUGGAAAGGGUUACAAAAAGUCGAAGAUAAAAGGCUAGCUACAGCCCGGAUCAACAAAAGGGUCGAAACACUGACCGAAACACAAACACGAUCAGCACCUACACCCAGACUUUACAAGACAGAAGAAAGUUGCUGGUGACCUCAAGUAAUAAUAGCGUUUCCAAUUACCAAUCAUUCCCUCAUCCUCUUAGCUCUGAUGUCCACAGAUUUACCAAGUUAUGAACUCUACUUGCCGUAUCAUCCGUUCGCGUAGGUCGGUCUUCAAAUAUGCGCCUGUUUCACUCUUUCCAUAUUUCCCAACAUGCUGCAGUAAAAUAAAGAUCAAACCAUUUCUUUUGCCUCCCUCCGACAGAACUCCUUGGAUGAUCCCAUCGAUCAGGUAAAUCACCUGGGUGUGUAUUUAUCGAGAGUUGGGCUGCCGGAGUUGUUUGUAGGAGCUGAGCCCACACCGUCAUCGCAGGAUGUGUUCAAGGUUUUCACCAUUCGUAGAGCAUAGAGCGCAAAUCGGCGGACCGUGCCAGCCCUUUUUAGUUAAGGUAUCAUCUGUCAAUACUCUAUUUCUCGCCGCAAGCCACAUGAAGAUUUUAACUCGCAGGGGGAUCUUGAUCUUCCAAAUAAAAGAAAUUCUGCAAGCAUCUAGGCCAUCAAAGCUAAGAAAAAAAAUUCUGAAAGCAUCUAUGCCAUCAAAGCUAAGAAAAUAAAAGAAAUUCUGAAAGCUCCAACCCUAUUUAGAAUGGUAUAUAUACAAAUUUUGGAUUUUUUUUUUCCCCCUUUUUAAUUAUAGAUAGCGUAGGGUGUAUAUACCUGCUACUAUCCUUCUAAGACAACACAGUUCUUUAUCCUAUUAAGUUGUUUCUUUCCAAUGGUGAUAGGACAUUUGGAUCAACAAUCUGCACUGAUAAAUAUGAUUUUGGGCAUUGUAAGUGAACCAAAUUUUCUGAUUUUUAAAGAUUAUUUUAUGGUUCACAACAUUCUGAAAAUGAAUUAUGGGAUUCAUCAAUUUAAGAUCAAAGGUAUGCACCUUGAUCUAUAUAGUUUAAAUUAUUUUCAAACAAAAAUUCAAGCAAUGUAGACUCAAGUUGUCGAUUUUGAGAUGCUUCAAUCAGUACAUGAUGUCAGGAAAUAAUUGAAUUUUAGUUCCCAGAGAGAGUUUACUUUGAACGAAAUCCCAAUUCAAUAAACUGAAAUAACCCCAACAAAAUAAAUAAAGUUUAGAAGGUGUCUAUUGAAAAGGAACAAUGAAAUUGAGGGUCCUAUUUUACAUGGCCUGUAGUUGCGGUGACUCCAUGCAUGUUUACCUAAAAUUAGCACAAAAUAGAGAUCUUAAGAGACCAAACAUUACAUCCAGAUGGACUGCAAAUUAAGUAAACAGUAAACGCUUCAAGGAAAAUUUUAUUAUGACCAGCAAAACUUUUUCAUGCAAAUUUUUUCUUUUCCUUUUUCAACAUUAAUCGAAACAUAAUUUACUUGUACCAUUUUCUUUUUUUCUUUUUAGCUCAAGUGAGAAGUUUACAUGUGUACCCGAGAUAUAUAUAUAUAUAUAUAGCUCCCAACCUGUAAUAAGAGAUUAAAGAAAGGAUUAUGUUAGAGAGGGAACCGGCAGCCCACCAAAGCUCCCUCACUGACGGCCACGGGAAGCGGCCCGACGACACAUUUUCCGGCUAUGGUGAUGACGGCCCCUUCAAUGGUGGCGGGGGUGGCGGCGGAGGGGGGAGGUGCGCUCAAUUCAUCAGCUCGGGGACAGAGAUCGCUAAAUAUAGAGAAAAGAAGAGUUCAAAAAAGAAAAAAAACAAAUUGAGAGAGGGAGAGAUCUCUAAAUAUAGAGUAAAGAAGAGUUAAAAAAAAAAGAAAAAAAGAAAAAAAACAAAUUGAGAGAGGGAGGAGGUAGAGGGCAAAUGCGUAGGAAGGCGAAGCAUCACAGCAGGUGGGGUGAGUGGACAGAAAUGCAAAUUGUCACGGCAGGGAGGUAGAGGGCAAAUGGGUAGGAAGGCGAAGCAUCACAGCAGCAGGUGGGUGAGUGGACAGAAAUGCAAAUUGUCACGGCAGGUGCUGAGCGGGCAGGUAUGCAAAGCGUCAAAGCAGGUGUGCCAGCGGAAAAAUUCUACAAUGCAACGGGUAUAUUAAUGACGUGGUGAUGUAUAACAAAUCAAUUAAAUAUUUUCUUUUAGAGAUAUAUAUUCUAUCAUAAUUAUAAAAAAAUAUUUUUAUUGUACUUUUAUUUGAAAAGAAGGAAUGCGAUUGACUUGCUAUUAAUGAUGUGGUGCAAGUAUGAUAGUGUAGAAUUCCUCGUGCGAGCGGGCAGCUAUGCGAAGCGUGACGCAUGCCACGUUAGAUUAGUAAAUCAGUUUUUAUAUAUUACUAGUGUAGUUACCCGCGCGAUGCAACGGGUAGACACUAUCGAAACAAUCAUUAUUUCUAUAAACUAAUUAAUAUUAGUUUAAAUGGCCGGCAAAAAUUGGUAAAAAACUAUUAAAGAUGACAUUUUCAUACUUAUUAACUCAAUAAUCUAUAUAAUCAAACUCAAUAGUUUAGUAAAAAAAAAAGAUUAUAAGAAAAGCCAAAUACAAAAUUUACAAUUUGAUUACACAUAACAACUCAAAUAAAAAAAAUUGUUACAAGUUCAAGCGAGUGUUAAUUAAAAAUUAAAUAAAAUUGAGGGCCUAUUUCAAAUGGCUAUAGAGGAUCUCUCGGUAAAUAUUUUUACCAAUUCUUUUUUAAUAUUUAAAAAAAAGCCAAGCAAAGCCAAACCUGCACAUCUCCGGACCCAAUUGUUGCCCUUAUGCCUGGCGAAAUCUUGAUGAGUGAAUGAGCCCUAAAACCCCACAGAAGUGAACACCUCAUGAGCAUCUACUACAAACCAAUUUGAAUUAUAACAGAGAUGUGUAACUUGAGUUACCUCUAACAUGUAUGUAACAUUCUCAAAUCCUAGAAAUAUAUAUAUAAAUAAUUAAACACAACAACACCUGAGCAGAAGCAAAUACCCUAUAACAUAAGACCAUGAAUAAUAAGUUGUGAUUUUUCAAAACCAACCUCUAUGAGGGUGAUUAGGAAACCCAGCGGGAGUAGAAACUGCAACAAAACAAAUUGUAAUUCAAGCGAAAAAAAAAAACCUGACUUAAAAAGAAAAAAAACAGUUGAGAAAAAUCAAGCAAAAUUUGAAAGAAUUUAAUGAUAAAAAUUCUAAAUUUUUUAUCCAAAUCGGAAAAAAAAAAAAGGUUUUCACAUCUUUCUAGAAACCAAAAUAUCUUCAAACUUAUCCAGGAGAAGGAAAGGAUCCAAGCUUCUCAGCUCAGGCCUGCAAAUCACAUAAACCCCAUCAAAUUAACACCCAAAAUAGAAAAACCAAAAGGUACAUAUAUAAAAAAAAAGAAUGAAUUCAUGAAAAUGACUUUUUUUUCUUUCACAAGAAGUAAUUGAUUCAUCUGAAAGUUCGAUCUCAGUCAGUCAAUGAAUUACAAACUUUUAUGUGAAUUAUCUUCCAAUGCUUCUCCUCACGGUGGCGUCUUGUCCAUAAAAAAAAAAAAUAGCAAAAUAAUAAAAGAAUGAAAUGGUGACUAUGAAAAGACAAAAACGUAUUCAAAGAGUAAUAAAUUAUGAUUAUAAUUACCAUUAAUUGAUGAACGUUAAUGUAGAUUACCAUUAAUUCAUGAAACGUUAACGGAUAUACCGGAGAGGAGAGGGGAGGGGAAGGGUGGGCGAGAUGAAGAGAUGCCUAAUACGGUGAGAAUUAAAGGAGAGAGAAUUAAUACGUUAUUGGGGAUUAAUAGAAUAGGUAUAGAUAUAGAUUAUCUAUCUAUUAAUCUAAGAAUAAAGGGUUUCUUGCCACGUGGCAAGAAACAUUGUGGAUUCGUUAUGUUUAAUAGAUAUUAUAUUACUAGUGUAGUGAACUGUGCGAUGCGACGAAUAGAUAAUUAGAGAAAUAAUAAAAAAACAGUGACAAAAAGAAGAUGAGACAAUGAUGGAAGAAGCGACGAUAAGGAAUGAAAUUCAUCUUGUAAACGAUAGCCGAAGGAAGUGGAAGAAGAACAAUUCGGCCCAAUGCAGAAUUGCGAUCCGGUUUGGUUCAAGCAAAAAAAAAAAGAAAAACAUAAUUUGAUUCAAGUAAAGAAAGAGAAGAAUAUGUGGAUGACUUGAGUCGGUUCAGGGGAGCCCGCUCUGAAUAAUGAAUGAUUUGGUUUAAGUAAAUAAAAAGAAAAAUUCGGUUUGGUUCAAACAAAGAAAGAGAUAAAUAUAUAGAGAAUUUGAGCCGGUUUGGGGUGGAGCCCACACCCAACAAUGAAGUGAAUAUUGCAAUGUGGCAAAUUUAGGAAGAAUAAUACAUAGAAGUAGAUAGAUAUAGAUAUAGAUAGAGAGAAUUGCAUUGGAAUACUAUUAAUAGUAUCUGUGCUCUUUUGCUAUCGAGUUUUUAACACUUAUAAAUGAAAAAUUAUAGGGUUAGGAUGAUGGUGGUCUCCCAGGAUUUACUUGUGGUCUCCCUAAAGUUGAGAUAGUGGUUGGUUAAAUAGUAUGAUCUAAAAGAUAUAAUUGAUAAAAUUGUAGAUUUAACGAUUAAAAAAUUAAUAGCAAAAAAAGCCAAAUACUAUUAAUAAUAUUCCAGCUCCACUCUAGAUAUAGAUUACUAGUAUAGAACCCGUACUUCACUGCAGAUAAAUAAAUUAUGGUUAGUUGAUAGUAGUUUUUUGGAAGUGUUUUAAUAAAUCAAAAGAUGUUAUUAAAUAGACACUUUUUUAAAAAAUAUAAGCAAAACUAAUGUAAAGACUAACAAACUUUUAGAUGAAAUAAUUACAUAUAAGGGAUAAUUGCAUAUAUACCUCUCAAAACUUUGCAAAUAUCUUAUUUACCCCUAUUUUUUAUUUCUUUCCAAUAUACCCUCUAUAUGUUUCUCCGUUAUUUCAAAAUAUCCAUGCAGUUACCACCCGUUAAGUUAACUUGGGUUAAACGUGAGUUAAAUAUCUACCACAGUUAAAAAAAAUUAAAAUGCCACUUUUGUUCUUAAAUUAAGGACAAAUAAGAAAGGUUCGUGAUAGUAGAAGGGUAUAUUUGAAAAGACCAAAAAGUAAAAUACUUUUUGUGCCCCUAAUUUAAGAACAAAUAAGAAAAGUCACUGAUGGUAGAAGGGUAUAUUUGAAAGGGCAAAAUAGUAAAAAAAAAUCAAAAUACCUUUUUUGCUGUGAUGCUCAAAGGGUAUAUUUGAAAGGGCAAAAAGUCAAAAUAGUUUUUUUGCCCCUAGCCUAAGGCAAAUAAGAAAAGUCGGUAAUAAUGGAAAGAUAAAUUCGAAAAGAUAAAAUAAUAAUUUUACAGAGAUACCGGUUAUUUAUAACAACUUACUAACAGAACUUAAAACGUUAAAAACAUAUUUUCUUCAUUAGCCUUCUAUAGAGGUAUAUAAGAAAGUUUUAAACUUUUCAGUGCUAUGUUAGCAAUUGCCCCAAAAAAUUAUACGGUUUAUUGAAAUACCUAGCUAGCAGCGCCAAUUUCUAAUAGGAAAAAAAAAAGUACAAACACUUUCUAAACUUUAGAGCAUUUGGCAAAUAGAUUCCUCAGUUUUCAAUUUUGACAGCUAGACACCUUAAGCAUUCUAAAAUAAUUCAAUAUAUAACUCCCUCCCUAUAUAUGAAAAUGUCCGUAUGUCAACAAAUUUCUUGCAUAUGAUCUUGUGAAGCUUCAAAAUAUAUUAAAAUCUGCCUUUUUUUAUUCUAAAACUUGAGUAAAGCAAUUAAUUAAAAUGAAAGAUAGAUUUAGUUUGUAUAUUCUUCAAUCCUUAUAUUGUAGUUUUAUCACCAAAAGAGAAGAAAUAGGUUUUUCUUUUGUGUUUUUUAAACCUUGCAAGAAUCACAUCUCUAAAAUAUGCUAUCAAAAUGGCUUUUUAAUUAGUAUUUUUUUUCUUCAGAAAAUUGACCAAUUAAACUAUUUGAUUAUUUUAUAAGAUCUAGUUGCUAAAUUAAAAAUUAGAAGAUCAUUUGACAAUAGUUUAUAGUUUAGGAGUUUUUGUGUAUUUAUCCCUUUCAAUUUUAAUAUGUCUAUACGUAAAAAUGUACGGCGAUACCGUCGUAUAGGCCAUUUUGAAACUUGUUCCCUCCAUCUACAAUCUAUAAUUUAUAAUCUAUAAUCUAUAAUCUAUCUAUAAUCUAUAAUCUAUAACUAUAUAUUAUUUCUCAAUAACUGCACACGUGUCGCGAGAAGGCCGAGGCUCGGGUGAGGGCACGGGGCGUGGGCUGCGGUGGGUGAUGGCGCGGGUGUGGUGCGGGCACGGUGCGGGCCCCGGCUCGGGGGCGGGCUCCGGCGCUGGCGCCACGGGGCGAGGGCUUCGGCCGCUUGGUGCUGGCCUGGCGGGCGCGCGCAAGCCGGCGCGGGGGUGGGUUCGGCGCUUGGCGCCGUGGGCGAGGGGGGCGCGUGAGGGGCCGGGGCGCUGCGCGGGGGUCGUGGCGCGGCGUCCGAGCGGUGUCUCUCGCGGAGCCGAAAAAAAAUCGCGGCUCUUGGUGUGGUGGGUUGCACGGGUCCACAGGCCAAGUGGCCUUGUGGACGCUAAUGAGAAGAGGUCACGGUGGACCUCCUCUCAUUCUCCUCUCUCUCUCUCUCACUCUCUCUCUAUAUAUAUAUAAUUUUAUUAUAUAAUAAUAUAUAUAUAUAAUAAAUUUAUUUAUAAAUAUUAUAUAUUUAUGUAUUAAUAUAGUAUUAUAUAUAUAUAUAUAUUUAUUUAUAAAAUAUAAUUUAUUUAUAUAUAGUAUUUAUUUUAUAUAGAUAUAUUAUUAUAUAAUAAUUUAUUAUAUAUUUACUAUUUAUUUUUAUAAAUGUAAAUAUAUAAAUAAAUGUUAAAUAUUUUAGACUAUUGUAUUAGAUAUAUUUAUUUCAUUAAUACUUGCAAAAAUUUUUUCACUAACUGCUUGGGGGGACUACGAUGCUUAUAAAAAUUAUUUCUUAUUAAUAGGAAAGUAUACUGUAUUUUAUUUAAAAUUAUUUCGUAAUUUGUCCGUAAUAUUUCAUAAUUAUUCUAAAAUUAAUUUUUAUAACUAAUUUUCAAAAUUAAAUUUUAAAAUAACUAACCGCAGCAUGAUUUCUCUUCUCAUUCACUAAUUACUCGGGGACUACAAUACCUACUAAAAUUAUUUCAUUAACUAAUGGGGGACUACUAUGCCUACUAAAAUUUUUUUAUGUACUUAUUGCACCAUUUAAAUUCUGAAAUUAAUUUUUAUAAUUAAUUUUUAAAAUUAAAUUUUAAAAUAACUAUCCGCAGCAUCGGACGGUUCCCUUAACUAGUUUUAUUUUAUUUGGAUUGAGACAGGCCUUCACUAUUGAUUUUUUGAGAAGCGAUAUUUCUGUUCUUGUAAGGGCAUCUGUGUAAAUACAUGCCUUUAGAAGGGCAGUGAGGAAUUUCUCCUUUUAAAAAAAACUUAAAGAGGGUAAUUUCAAAAUACCCUAUAGUUGAGGGGGUCUCCAUACACUUUAACCUAUAAAUGAGGGCUUUUUUUUACAUUUAGCCCCCUUUUAAUUUGUUUUUUUCACAAAUAGCCCUACGAAAUUUAUAAUUACAAAAUUGGCUCAUUCCCGCAAUGCAAGCACCAUACCAGCGGCUAUGAAAGAUUAAGUUAAACACGAUAAAUGAUUCACCGUAUUUAAACACGGUAAACCAUUCAUCGUAUUUGGACGGACUAAACAGUAGCUAACCCAGUAGUGCAAAAAAACUCAAACAACACUGCAGUACAUUUUAGUUUAAACACGGUGAACCAUUCACCGUGUCUAAAUACAGUGAAUGGUUCACCGUGUUUAACUUAUGCCAGCCAGCCGUUAACGUGGCGCUUACUAGGGGUAGAAACGAGCCGAGCUCGAGCGAGCUUAUGUCAGCUCAAAUUCGGCUUGAAAUUAAUUUCGAGCCUAAAUCUAGGCUCAAGCUCGGCUUAUAUAUUAACUCGAGAAUAUGAAAAUUUUCAUGGUUCAGUAAACACGAACAUUCAAAAAUCGGGAACCUAAUUAUCUACACGCCAAUCCUACUACACCCGGGGGAACCUAACUCACCCACCAACCAACUUAUCAUAUUAGAUUGCCCACUUUUACUAGUUUCCGCAUCUAGAUUGCCAUUUUUUAAGUGUUCGUGGUUCACGAGCCAUGAAAAUGUUCGUGGUAUCGGCCUGAUAUAUAUAUAUAUAUAUAUCCCAAAUCCCAAAUCCAUAAAUAUUUAUAUUUUAUAAAUAUUUAUAUUACAUAAAAUUAAUAUAUAUCCGAAAUUAAAUUAAACCCGGUAAUAACAACCGGGUAUUUUAUUUUGGUUGUUCAUGUUGGCACGUUAACUCGGGUUGAGAUUUAAAUGUAUUGUGUGAGAGAGAAACUCUAAAAGUGACAACGUGUAUUAGGAUUUUGUACUAUUGUAAGUUUAAGGGUUUAGGGAUUAAAAAAAGAGGGGGGAGAGAGAGAGAGAGAGAGAGAGAAAGAGAGAGAGAGAGAGAGAGAGUCUGGGAGUGGGUCAGUCCGUCAGUGGGAACGAGUGUAAAGAACGUUAAUAAAACAUAAAACUUGAUAACCUGUACAACGUAGUUUAAUAUUCAUUACAAGAUAUUUUUAAUUUGAUAACUAAUAUAUUACAGCUUUUAAAGUUAACCGAGCAAAUCUCGAGCUCGAGCCGAGCUGAGCUUUAAUCCGAGUGAGUUCGAGCCGAGCUUAAUUAAAAUNAGCUCGAGCGAGCCGAAUAUCGAGCCGAACACGAGUCGAACGCGAGCCGGCUCGCUCGUUUGCCAGCCCUAGCGCUUACGUGGCAGAAAUAUGACUAGUUUUAAAAUUAUAAAUUUUAUAAGGGUAUUUAUAAAAAAAAAAUUGUGAAUGGGCUAAACGCAUAAAAAAUCUUAUAAACCAUUAACCUGGCUCCAAUAAUAAUUCGUUCUAUUUCAUGGACUAGUAUUCUCCUCCACUCCGGUCACCUCUACUAAGUCAAUCCACUAAUUUCCACAAAUUUCUUUAUCACAAUAAAUUAGAUGGUCGGAUCCACUAAUUGUCCACCAAUUUUCACAAACUCCUUUAUCACAAUAAAUUCCUUUAUCACAAAUUCCUUUAUCACAAUAAAUUUGAUGGUUUAGGUGCCUUUAGUUAUCCACUUUGUUUAUUUUUUAUAUUAUUCGAAUGUGCAGUUACAAUUAUAUGGCACUAUAAAAAAAAUCUCAAAAUAAAAAUGCUUUUUAAACGACAUUUAAAAAGUUGUUCUUCAAGCGUCCCUACAAUACAGCAAAUAUCGACGUUUCAAAAACCGUCAUUAUAUGAAUCCUCUAUUGUAUCAAACUAAUUUAUUAGAAUAUAAAUUUAUUAUUAUUUUUAAUUUUUUGACGCUUUAAAUAUUAGGGUUUCAAAAAUUCUUAAAAGUCCUGUCGUUUUAAAACGUCGGAAUAUAUUUUACCGACGCUUAACAUUAGCAUCGGUAUAUACAUGACGACUCUUCAUUUCGCGAUAUUUAACCAACGCUUUUUUUUUUGAGAGAGAGAUAGAUAGCACGCUACCUGCUUCGUUUAUUUUAUUUAGGAAUAAACUUAGCUGAAAAUGUGAAUCAACUAAUAUUCGAAUUUGGGUCUCGGGUACCAACUACUAAGCCCUUUGCCACUAGUUCUAGGAACGGUCAGUCAACGCUUCUAAAUAUCAUGCUGAACUAUCUUAGGACAAGUUUAAGUAUCGUUUAAUAUAAUAAAAAAAAGUCCUCAAAUGGUAAGUCUCUUGCAGUGCAGUCUUAACUAUUCACUUAGUUUAUUUUUUUAUAGUGCACGAAUAUACAGCUACAAAUAAAAGUAGGUGCUUUUAGCUUAUCCACUUAAUUAAAAAAUAAAAUAACUAGAGUUUGAUUUUUUUUUUUUUUUUUUCGUAGUGCAAGAAUAUACAACUGCAAAUAAAAAUAGGUGCUUUUGGCGUAUCCACUUAAUUAAAGUAGGUGCUUUGACAUUUUCAAUUUUAGUGACAUUUUGGAGAAGUAUUGCUCUACUAGGAACACAAGUAUUCUCACACGGUGUGUUACUACCUUACGGCAACUACAGACUUUUUGACUAAGCAUGGAAGUUACUUUGUUAUCUAUCCAGUUGUCAAGAUUAAUAAAUACCAACGAAGAGCUACUGCAGGAUUGCGAUAGCUUUAGCUUUCUCUUGUCUUAGUCCGUAGAAUGGAAGGCUUUUUCCAUGCACUAUUUUUUCUCAUCAUUCUACUACAUGUGAUCUCCACCGCCCGGUGCACUGCCGCCGCCGCCGCCGCCGCCGCCGCCGGGAUCAAACAAGCUGCAUCUGACCGCGCCGCCCUCCUCUCCUUCAAGUCCCUCGUCGACGACGCUCCGUUCGGAGCGCUCUCCUCGUGGAACAACGGCUCUCUUCACUACUGCAGGUGGCGCGGUGUCUCCUGCGGCCGCCGCCAUCCCAACCGGGCCACGGCCCUAGACCUCAAGUCUCUCCGCCUAGCCGGUCUCAUAUCGCCCUCCGUAGCCAACCUCACAUUCAUCCAGACGAUCGACCUGUCCGACAACAUGCUAGACGGGAGCAUCCCGGAGGAGCUAGGAAGCCUACGCCGGCUGCGAUAUCUCAACCUGAGUGUGAAUUCUCUUAGCGGAACGAUCCCGUCUUCGCUCGGCAAUUGCUCUAAUCUUCGACUACUCAACUUGAGAGGUGAUAAUCUCAACGGCGAGAUCCCGCCAACUCUAUCACGUCUUUCCGAUCUUCAAGUGCUUCUCCUGAAUCAAAACAUGUUACAAGGGACAAUCCCAGAUUCACUUGGGAAUCUUUCUUCUCUACUCAUUCUUUCUUUAGACGAUAACAGCCUGUCAGGAGCCAUGCCUCCAUCCUUCGGUAGCCUUCUCUCCUUAGAGAGACUUGAAAUCCUAUUCACUAAUCUCACGGGAACCAUUCCGCCCACUCUCACAAAUCUCUCCGCUAUGAACACACUUGCGCUACGAAGAAACAACCUUCACGGUGAAAUUCCUCACUUUACAAAGCUUCCAUUCCUCUCUUACCUGGACUGCGGUUAUAAUCAUCUCUCUGGGACGAUCCCAAUCUCGCUUGGACGACUUUCAUCUCUCGAAUAUCUCCUUCUCGGGAUGAACAACUGAACAGGGGAAAUACCGUCAUCCCUUUACAAUCUAUCAUCCUUGAACACCUUAGAACUCUUUUAUAAUCACUUGAGGGAACUCUACCCUCCGAUAUCGGAAAUACUCUUCCAAACCUUCAAGUCCUUCGUAUGUAUGGUAAUCAGCUCGGGGGGCAAAUUCCAGCAUCCUUGUCCAAUGCUUCUGAGCUUUACGACCUUGAGCUAUCACUCAAUGCAUUCCAUGGCACGAUACCGCAGAGCCUUGGAGCCCUGCAGAGCCUCUUGCGGCUCACACUGGCCUUCAAUCGACUCGAAGCCAGGAAUCCUAGUGAUUGGAGCUUCAUUACGGCACUCACCAACUGCACCAGUCUCCAAGCAUUGGAUCUAAGAAACAAUCUACUUCAAGGCAUGAUGCCCAAAUCACUGGUCAAUCUUUCCACUAGUCUUUAUAUUUUGGCACUCGGAAACAACCACAUAUCAGGAAUCAUACCUAGAGAGAUUGAGAAUUUCAUCAAUCUAACUGUUCUCGACAUGAGUGUUAACGAUCUUCGAGGCACCAUUCCGGUAGAAAUCAGUCAUCUUUGGCAGUUACAGUACUUGGAUCUGUCCAACAACAUGCUCUCGGGCGAAAUUCCACCCACUUUGGGCAAUCUAACACGAAUGGACCUGCUCUAUCUUGGCAGCAAUGAAUUUGAAGGAGCCAUUCCGCCGACAAUAAGCAACAUGUUAGUGCUAGAGUCGUUAAAUCUAUCAAAUAAUACGCUAAGCGGUAGCAUUCCAAGAGAAGUUUUGAGCCUUUCGUCGCUCGCAAGCUUCCUUGACUUGUCGCAUAAUUUACUGAACGGUUCAUUACCGUUAGAAGUGGGCAACUUGAUCAAUAUUGGGGAGCUUGAUCUCUCAAAUAACAGGCUCUCUGGUGAGACUCCAGACACCAUUGGCAAAUGCGCCAUCUUGGAAAUUCUUCAUUUAGAGAACAACUUAUUUCAAGGGUCCAUUCCUACCUCCAUUGGCAUUUUAAGUGGGCUUAAGGAGCUUGAUCUCUCAAAAAACUUCUACUCGGGCCAAAUACCCGCAUUCCUUGAUGAGCUCCCGGAUCUACAAUACUUGAAUCUUUCCUUCAACAAUUUUGAGGGUCGAGUGCCGAUGAAAGGGGUUUUUAAGAAUGCCAGCGAAGUCUCGCUUAUCGGAAACCCUAAACUCUGCGGUGGAAUACCAGAAUUACACUUGCCCAAAUGCACUUCAGAUGCCUUUGCAGCAAAACAUCACUCUGAUUAUAAACUCAAGGCAAUACUCAUUCCUAUCUGUGGAGCAAUUUUAUGUUUGAUCAUAAUCAUGUGCUUGAUUGGGAGACAACACUUGAUAAAAAACUCACGGAGAAAGCCGCUGUCGAGGUUUUCCUUAAGAAACCGACACGUGAAAGUAUCAUAUGAUGAGCUCUUUAGGGCUACAAAUAGGUUCUCCUCAGAUAAUCUGAUCGGCACGGGAAGUUUUAGGUCGGUUUAUAAAGAGGCCAUGAACUAUGAAAACGGCGACAUCGUUGCAGUGAAAGUGCUUAACCUUUGAUAGCAUGGGGCUCUCAGGAGUUUUAUGUCUGAAUGUGAGGCCCUGAGAAGCAUUCGACAUCGAAAUCUUGUCAAAAUUCUUACAUCGUGCUCUAGUUUGGAUCACUGCAGUAAUGAUUUCAAGGCCUUGGUUUUUGAGUACAUGCCUAAUGGGAGCUUAGAAGAGUGGCUACAUCCAAAUGCACACCGGAAUAGGCCAUUUAGAAGCCUAAGCCUAAUCCAGAGGUUGAACAUAGCUGUCGACGUAGCCUCGGCAUUAGAGUAUCUUCAUCACGGAGGGUCUGUGCCGAUUGUUCACUGUGAUCUUAAGCCCAGCAACGUCCUUCUCGACAGUGAAAUGACGGCGCAUGUGGGUGAUUUCGGGUUAGCAAAGUUUCUGCGGCAACUACCUGACGAAUCAUCUGAGUGUUCAUGUACGAGCACUGUGGGAAUCAAAGGAUCAAUUGGUUAUGUUCCUCCAGGUGAGAAAUAUGCAAUAAAAUGCUAACUUUUUUUUUUCAUGCUUUACAGAAUUUUAGAAAAAAAAUAUAACACAUCUUUAUUUGAUUCCUAACUAUGCUACAUCUGAUAUUUUUUUGCUGCUCACUAUCUAUUGAAGCAAAAACAAGUGAAUAGUAAAGUUUAAUAAAUAAAAUUAGAAAGUCAGUGCACAAAUUGGUAGAAAGGAGAAAAAAAAAAAAAACUCUAGGAAACUGCUUGAUGCUUACUACUAACAACUGAUUAAUUAUGAUCACUAAACAUGCAAGAGCUGGAAUUUUAUUUCUACAUAUCUAAUGCUGCCUUAGAGUCAAUUUAUAAACUGAAAGAUCAAAUUUAGAUUUUGUAACUAUGGCUUGGAAACUGUGGUAGCCAAAUCCAAAUCCAAAUGAAUUCACCUGACAAUCUUGUAUUGUCUGUUUGCAAUUAAAAUAUGUUGUGCAGAGUAUGGAAUGGGCUGUAGACCAUCUAGGCUCGACGAUGCGUACAGCUACGGAAUUCUUCUGCUGGAAAUGUUCACUGGAAUGAGCCCCGUCGAUGACAAGUUCAAAGACGGACUGAGCCUUCGUGGAUAUGUUCGUGCUGCUGCUGCUUCACCUCAACAUGUCACGGACAUCAUAGACAGAAACCUGCAUUCAGCUGAUAAUGUUAAAGGUUAUCGAGAAGAGUGUGUGCGAGAUUGUGUAGUUUCGGUGUUCAACUGCGGUCUCGCGUGCUCGAAUGAAUCGCCAUACGAACGAUGCGACAUGACGAAAGUUGCAAAGGAGCUGAGUGCAGCAAGAGAGAGGCUUCUUAGCUAAAAGCAGUUUUGCUCCCUAUGCUACAGUUCUCACUAGAGGCAAAUGAAUGCAUGUUUGAACAUUCUCUGCUUUUCCUUCCUUGCAUUCUAAAGAAAAACCUUGUGUAAUGAAUAUGCCUAGUCCUUAUGGUUUUGAUCAUUCCUUUCUAGAAUGAAUAUAACCAAAAGGAUAUAAGCACUUCAAAUUUUGCAUCUGUAUACAUUAUUAAUAGAUUCAAAUUCCUAAUUUCUCGCUCAAGUUAAUAAAUGAAGCCUAAUAUAACCCGUCAUUGCCAAAUCUGUGUUGAAUACACUUUUCAACAGAAAGCUCGAAGCCUAUUUAGAAGGGGUAUAUGUACAAAUUUUGGAUUUUAAGCACGAACUACAGAACGGUCAUAAAUGGUAUGACAGAAGGAGAAUAUUGACCAAGAAAAAGAGGCAUUUACAUUCAAACAAAGUAUCAAAUACAAAAGCAAGAAUCCAAUGAAAGGGACCACGAACACCGAAAACACAACCAUCACCCGAAGUAUAUAUUUGACAUUCGAAAAAGAACACCAGAUACAUACUUAUACCACGCAUUCUAAAUUUUGUUUACUUUAGAGGUGCAAGCAAAUCGCUUUUUCUUUCUCAAAAUAGGAUCACUGGCCAACUGCUCGGUUAUGGAAAAACUUCUUGAUCCAAACUUGCCAACCAAGUAUCUGAAAGAUAAUCAGACAUAAAUUUUGGAAGUAACGAGAAAGAGUCCCUUGGCGAUACUAUAGUAUAGACUUCUUUACUUUGGCUGUAGUUUCUGCAGAAGUGCUAUCUCAGUUGAUCUUUUUGAAGGAGCACUAACAGCUUUUCCAGUAAAUCAUCCUAAUAUAUUUUUACUAUUGCAGAAGUGGAAGCUUCAAAUUGGACCCACAAAUUUUGCAGCCUAGAAGCUCAUUAUUGCUAUCUCCAAUAACAAGCUUCAGGGUCUGACUGCUGUUUCACGGGUUAGAGAAGCAGAGCCAAAGCCAGACCAAAUAAACACAAGAUAAGGCAUGAAGAACUACAUUAACAAUAGGGGAAAAUGAUUUGUGCCAAUAUAUGUGUAUGUUGUUACAUUUUAUUAUUAAUUAGUGAAGUUACAACUUCACUUGCAUUUAAUUAAACAUUUUAAACCUAGACUUUUGCACCUACAUCAAAUGAGAUUAACGUUAGUGGCAUUUACUUUGCAAAGCUUACACUAAAUAUCUUGUAACCUAUGGGUUUUAAACACUAGCAACAUAUAUUUUCAUCUCUCAUAACGUAUAGUCCUAAGGUGCUAUAAAUAGAUGGCUUGUUUUAUGCACUUAAACAGGCCAUAACAAAACAUAAUAACCAAAACUACAAUUCUACUUGAGAGAGAGAAGGUCAAAGAAAGGUGUUUCUUUUGGUGGAGCUUUGGGCUCAUCUACUUGUGCAGAGUUGGUGAAGCCACAUGACGAGGGUCGAGCCGUUGUAUCUUGGAGGGGACAAGUCGGUGCUCUGCUGCAUCGGUUCAAAGGCUUUGCCAACCGUAGAGGGCUUGAAUCUCCUUAAAGAGAGCGAGAUAUCCGUGCCUCGGCUUGAUCGACUCGUUAACAUUUUUUAAAUUACUUUGUAGCUAACCUCUAUUUUUUGAAUAUUUACACCAACAGUGUAGAACCAAAUAAAAUAGCAUAGUAUCUUUUUUGCAUUUUGAGCAUAUGCAAUUAGUAUGAAACACUCAACUAGUAUAAAAUUCUACGACCAACUACAAGAGAGUUCUUGUAUAAGAAUUGUUCGUAUAUGUAGAAGAAAAUUUAUGUGAAAACUUUAUCAAAGAUAUAUAAUUAACCAGUACAUAAACAUAGCUGAUCAUGGAUGAGUUUGCUAAGAGAAGUUUUUGAACCUUAUAGGAAUGGUGGGACUGAUUGACCGUACACGAAAUCAUGAGAAUAUGACUGCCAUAAUAACUACAUAAUUGGUAGAAAGACCGAAAGAUAGAUGAAUUAUCAAACCUCAAAUCAGUAAUUGCAUGAAUACCUCUCUAUACAUGGAAGAUUAAAUCGACAACAGAAGCAGCAACGAACGGAAGUAUGCCACAAAGAUGAUGCAUUUUAAUUUCCAAGUUCGCGGCGAGAGAAAUGGAGGACCAGUCAUCAUCAACCCUGGGGAAUAUAUUUCGUCAAGAAGCAUGAUAGUUUACUGACAAAUUUUUUCUUUAAUGCUUCAAAUUUUGACUGAAGCAGUUGCAAUUAGACUGUCGACUUCCUCUUCAUACUGUUCAUAGACAAUGAAGAUGAUGAUGAACAUGCAUGUCAACCCUGCAAUAUAAGCAAGAACUAAUUAUUACAGGAAAAGGUACAAGUAUGGAGAUAAGAAAAAUAAUGUUUGGAUGAAAAUUGGAUUAUUUCCGGGGAUAAGAAAAUAGCAUUUGGAUAGAUAAUAUGGAAUAAGAAAAAUAGCUGGUAAUUUUAUAUAGAAAAUGAUGGUGUUGGUGUGAAUAGUUAUACCCUGUUAUUAUAGGUAACAGAGAACUACUGUUCUCGGAUAAAAAAUUAGCGUUUGGUAUAAAGGGGAUAAGGGGUUAUCUUUAUCCCCCUAUCCCCUAUCCAAACGGUCUGUUUAUCCCACCUUUUUUUGGUUUUUAGUAAUUUUUUUAAAAAAUGACAAGAUUUUAGGGAAAAGAUAUCUUUUAGAUUAAGUCAAAGUGGUGGGCUUGUAACACAAAAGUGGGUUGAAUGUAUAGUGACACAUACAUAUACGUAGGGAGGUAAUGUGGGCCGUGCUGGGCUGGUACGGCCCAGAUUUUCCGGGCAUUCUGGGCCAAGGAUCGGCCCGGGCCGUGCCGGGCCGUGGCAGGCAGUUUAGGUAGAGCAGUAGAUCCGGCCCGGCCCCUGUCCUGUCCAGCACAGGCCGUGUAGGGCCGGGCCGGGCUUCGUGCCAGCCCAGAUUUUUUCAAAAAUAUAUAUUCAUCCAGUUUCUUUUUUUUAAGAAAUUAUUUUUCAGAAAAAGAGAUAGUUUUUUUUAAAUUAUAAAUUUGGCUUAUAACUUUUACUUUACACAAUUAUACCCAACUUUUUGAAAACUAUUUUAUUAAAUAUUUUUAAUAAUUUUUUAUUAUUUGAAGAGAAAUUUAUCUUUAAAAAAAUAAUUACAAAAAAUAUAUAAAGUUUGUAUUAAUCAUAUUACAUAAAGUUUGUAUUUUUUUAUUUUUUUGUAGUAAAGAUAUUAAAAUUUUUAAAAUCGUUUUAUAAAGUUUGUAUUAAUCAUAUUACAUAAAGUUUGUAUUUUUUUAUUUUUUUGUAAAAAAGAGUUUAAAUAUAACCUUUUGACUUAUAGUUUUUAAUUUACAUAAUAAUACCCAGCCUUUAUAAAACGAUUUUAAAAAUUUUAAUAUCUUUACAUAAUGUUUAAAUAUCUUUUUUAAUUUUUUAAUCCAUUUUUUUAAAAAAAUAGUAAUAGAAUAUUGUUUCAUAGAAUUUUUUUUUUUUUUUUCUCACUGCCCUUCUUCUAAAGGCAUGUAUUUAUGCUUCGUUUGGGAUUGCGCAGAGAUUGCGUUAUGUGCGGUGAGAAAGUACGUUGGAAAAAUAUCCUGUUUGUUUCCGUACAUAAUAUUGCGUUCCGCAUAUCACGAUGAAUUGAUUACGAUAUAUUUUCUACAGUCCUACCGGAGAACGCAGAAGCAUAUCCCUACCCUAUAUGCUUUUUCUCCAACUCCAUUUUAUCUAAUAGCGUUUAAUAGGCCGCAAUACCAAACUAAGACUUAGACAGAUGCCCUUAUGAGAACAGAAAUAUCACUUUUUAAAAACUCAAUAGCCUAUAUACCCCUCAUACGGAACAAAUGUCAAAAUGGCCUAUAUGGUGGAAUCUCCAUACAUUUUUACGUAUAAACGUAUUAAAAUUGGAAGAGAAAAAUGCAUAAAAACUUUAAACUAUUGUCAAAUGACCCUCUAAUUUUUAAUUUAGCAACUAGAUCAGUAGAUCUUCUAAAAUAAUCAAAUAGUUUAGUCACUCAAUUAUCUCAAGAAAAGCUACUAAUUAAAAAGCCAUUUUGGCAGCAUAUUUUACAGAUAUGAUCUUGCAAAGUUUCAAAACACAAAAGAAAAACCUAUUUCUUCUCCUUUGGUGAUAAAACUAAAAUACAACAAUUGAAGAAUAUACAAACAAAAUCCAUCCUUCACUUUAAUUAAUUGCUUUUCUCGAGUGUUAGAAUAAAAAAGGUAGAUUUUAAUAUAUUUUGAAGCUUCACACGAUCACAUGCAAGAAAUUUGUUGAAAACAGACAUUUAAUUAGUAACUUUCGUAUAUAGGAAGGGAGGCAUUGAAUUAUUUUAUAAUGUUUAAGAUAUCUAGUAGUCAAAAUGCCAAAGCUCCUAGGGCCCCAUUUGGUUCGGGGGAUAAGCGGGGAUAACGAAAGUUAUCCCCGCUAUUCCGCCAAACAGGAUCAUUUUUUACCCGGAUAUUUUAUCCCGGUCAAAGCUUGCUAUUUCCGGUUACCCAGAAUAGCAAGCUUUUUACUAUUCCACCAUUUUGGUGGAAUAGUGCUAUUCUCAUGCUUAAUUUCAAACUUAAUUAAAAUUAUAAAAUAAAUUAAAACUAAAGUUUAGAAAGUGUUUGUACUUUUUUUUUUCCCUACAAGAAAUGAUUGCUGCUAGCUAUUUCAAUAAACCAUAUAAUUUUUAGGGGCAAUUGCUAACUAUUAUCUCGAUAAAAUUACUAUUUUAUCCUUUCAAAGUUUUCCUUCUAACGUUACCAACUUGUCUUAUUUGCCUUUGGAUAGAGGCAAAAAACUAUUUUGACUUUUUUUUCCUUUCAAACAUAUCCUUCUAUUGUCAUCAGCAAAAGAGCUACUUUGACCUUUUAAUUCUGAUAGAAAUUUAAUUCAAGAUGACUUAACGGAAACUAACAGAAAUGUAUUUUUGAAUAAUAAAGAAAUAUACAAAAGAUAUAUUUAAAACCAAAAAAGUAGGAAUAUAUAACAUAUUUCAGAAGUUUUAGAGGGUAUAUAGAUAAUUAUUCCUAAUUUUUAGAUAAAAGAAAAGGUGUGGUGCGAUGAGUUCUGCCGCUUCUUUUAUUUUUUUUAGAAAUAAAUUUAGCUAAAAAUAUGAAAUAAGUAGGCUCCUAAUUUGGGACCUCGAAAAUAACACCCUCAAUUAUACUUAUAUUUUUUGGGAUUCAAAGCUCCUCCAUGUCUUAUUUUUUUAUUUGAGUUUUCAUACUAAGCUAAACUAAAAAUUUUAUCAAAUUUAAUAACUGUUUUAUUUAUUAACCACCAAAUCCGUAGGUGAAACACUUUGUCCCACAUAAUAUUUAGCUCUCACACUAUAUUUCCAGCUGGUAUUCGACUUUGAUAUCAAUUAUAACGACCCAAUCCGCCAGCAAUCAAUUAUAGCAACCCGACCCGUGCCAAAACCACCGGCCUAAAAUAUUUAAGCCUAGUUAUUAUUAUUAGCGUGUAGGUCUCAUAUAUUCUAAUCAGAAUCAGUUUCUCACCGGAUGUGGGACUAUUGGGCGUUACAAAGAUUACUUAAUUUUAAUAAAAGUGGAAGGGUCUAAAUCCAAAAUAAUAAAAAUUGAGGAAGCAAUUUCAGAAUUGCUUGUAGUUGAGUGUGUUAAUGUACUUUCAACCCACUUUGAGUUACAAGCCCACAACUUUUGAGUUAAUCUAAAAGAUAUCUUUUCCCUACAAUCUCGUCAUUUUUUUUUUUAAAUUGCUAAAAACCCAAAAAAAAGGUGGGAUAAACUCAAAGACCAUCGAGUAUGAUCUAUUUCCGAUUUUAAUUCACGCAGUCGAUUGCUUCUAUAUGUAUUCCCAAGUUGCUGUUCCGUUUCUCACUCGCAACAUUGAUUGGAGUUUGUAAGGUUUUGACCUAAAAAUCUUGUUAAUUAAUUUCCAGAUAAUAGUGCUCUGUUUUAUCUUUUUCAACUUUCUCACCGCAUCUUUUAUAUUGCAGGGUUGACAUGCAUGUUCAUCAUCUUCACUGUCUAUGAACAGUGUGAAGAGGAAGUCGACAGUCUAAUUGCAACAGCUUCAGUCAGAAUUGAAGCAAUAAAGAAAAAAUUUGUCAGUAAACUAUUAUGCUUCUUGACGAAAUAUAUUCCCCAGAGUUGAUGAUGACUGAUCCACCAUUUCUCUCACUGCGAACUUGGAAAUUAAAAUGCGUCAUCUUUGUGACAUACCUUCUUUCGUUGCGGCUUCUGUUGUCGAUUCAAUCUUCCAUGUAUGGAGAGGUAUUCAUGCAAUUACUGAUUUGAGGUUUGAUAAUUCAGCUAUCUUUCGAUCUUUCUACUAAUUAUGUAGUUAUUGUGGUAGUCUCACUCUCAUGAUUUCAUGUAAUUACAAGAAUAAAUAACAUUGUGAUAUGUUCUGCCAUUCUCAUGCAUAUAUUUCAACAUCAGUAGCAAAUUCAUCCAUCAGCUAUGUUUUUGUACUGGUUAAUUAUAUAUCUUUGAUAAAGUUUUCACAUAAAUUUUCUUCUGCAUAUACGAACAAUUCUUAUACAAGAACUCACUUGUAGUUGGUAUGAGAAUUUUAUACUAAUUGAGUAUUUCAUACUAAUUGCAUAUGGUCAAAAUGAAAAAAAGAUACUAUGCUAUUUUAUUUGGUUCUACACAUAUAUUGGCACAAAUCAUUUUCCCCUAUUGUUAAUGUAGUUCUUCAUGCCUUAUCUUGUGUUUAUUUGGUCUGGCUUUGGCUCUGCUUCUCUAACCCCUGAAACAGCAGUCAGACCCUCAAGCUUGCUAUUGGAGAUAGCUAUAAUGAGCUUCUAGGCUGCAAAAUUUGUGGGUCCAAUUUGAAGCUUCCGCUUCUGCUAUAGUAAAAAUAUAUUAGGAUGAUUUACUCGAAAAGUUGUUAGUGCUCCUUCAAAAAGAUCAACUAAGAUAGCACUUCUGCGGAAACUACAACCGAAGCAAAAAGGUCUAUACUAUAGUAUCGCCAAGGGACUCUUUCUCAUGACUUCCAAAAUUUAUGUUUGAUUACCUUUCAGAUACUUGGUUGACAAAUUUGGAUCAAGAAGUUUUUCCAUAACCGAGCAGUUGGCCGAUGAUCCUAUUUUGAGAAAGAAAAAGCGAUUUGCUUGCACCUCAAAAGUAAACAAAAGUUAGAGUGCGUGGUAUAGGUAUGUAUUUGGUGUUCUUUUUCGAAUGUCAAAUACUUUGGGUGAUGGUUGUGUUUUUCGGUGUUUGUGGUUCCUUGCAUUGGAUUCUUGCUUUUGUAUGUGAUGCUUUGUUUGAAUGUAAAUGGCUCUUUUUCUUGGUCAAUAUUCUCCUUCUGUCAUACCAUUUAUGAUCUUUCUGUAGUUUGCGCUUAAAAUCCAGAAUUUGUACAUAUACCCUUCUAAAUAGGCUUGGAGCUUUCUGUUGAAAAGUGUAUGCAACGCAGAUUUGGCAAUGUCGGGUUAUAUUACGCUUCAUUAUUUAACUUGAGCCAGAAAUUAGGAAUUUGAAGCUAUUAAUGUAUACAGAUGCAAAAUUUGAAGUGCGUAUCUCCUUUCGGAUGUACUCAUUUUAGAAAGGAGUGAUCAAAACCAUAAGGACUAGGCAUUUUUAUUACACAAGGUUUUUAUUUAAUGCAAAUAAGGAAAAGCAGAGGAUGUUCAAACAUACAUUCAUUUGCCUCUAGUAAGAACUGUAGCAUAGGGAGCAAAACUGCUUUUAGCUAAGAAGCCUCUCUCUUGCUGCACUCAGCUCCUUUGAGACUUUCGUCAUGUCGCAUCGUUCGUACGGCGAUUCGUUCGAACAUGAGAGACCGCAGUCAAACACUGAAACUAUGCAAUCUCGCACACACUCUUCUCGAUAAGCUAUAUCAUUAUCAGCUGAGUGCAGGUUUCUGUCUAUGAUGUCCAUGAGAUGUUCAGGAGAACCAGCAGCAGCACGAACAUAUCCACGAAGGCUCAGUCCAUCUUUGAACUUGUCGUCGACGGGGCUCAUUCCAGUGAACAUUUCUAGCAGAAGAAUUCCGUAGCUGUAUACAUCGCCGAGCCUAGAUGGUUUACAGCCCAUUCCAUACUCUGCACAACAUUAGUUAAUUGGAAAUAGAAGAUACAAGAUUCUCAAGUGAAUUCAUUUGGAUUUGGAUUUGGCUCCUACUGCUUCCGAGCCAUAGUUACAAAAACAAAAUUUGAUCUUUUAGAUUAUUUAUAUUGAUUCAAAAAUAGCAUUAGAUAUGUAGAAAUGAAGUUCCAGCUCUUGCGAGUUUACUGAUUAUAAUUAAUCAGUGGUUAGUAGUAAGCAUCAAGCAGUUUAUUCUAACUCCAGUAUGUCUGUUUUUGUAGCUAAUAUGUAGUAUCCUUUUUGUUUCCUACAAUAUUUUUUUUUCCCCUUUUCUAUAACUUUUACACAAUCUCUAAUUUUGUUUAUUAAACUUGUGCUAUUCACUUGAUUUUGCUUCAAAAGAUAGUGAGCAGCAAAAAGUAUUAGAUAUAGUGUAGUUAGGAAUCAAAUAGAGAUGUAUUAUAUUUUGUUUUUUUUUCUGAAAUGCUGUAAAGCAUGAAUAAAGUUAGCAUUUUAUUGCAUAUUUCUCACCUGGAGGAACAUAACCAAUAGAUCCUUUGAUUCCCACAGUGCUAGUAGAUGAACGCUCUGAUGAUUCGUCAGGCGGCUGCCGCAGAAACUUUGCUAACCCGAAAUCGCCCACGUGCGCCGUUAUUUCAUUGUCGAGAAGGACGUUGCUGGGCUUAAGAUCACAGUGAACAAUCGGCACGGACCCUCGGUGAUGAAGAUACUCUAAUGCCGAAGCUACGUCGAUGGCUAUGUUCAACCUCUGGAUUAGGCUUAGACUUCUGAAUGGUCUAUUCCCGCGUGCAUUUGGAUGUAGCCACUCUUCUAAGCUCCCAUUAGGCAUGUACUCAAAAACCAAGGCCUUGAAAUCGUUACCGCGGUGAUCCAAACUAGAGCACGAUGUAAGAAUUUUGACAAGAUUUCGGUGUCGAAUGCUUCUCAGGGCCUCACAUUCAGACAUAAAACUUCGGAAAGCCCCAUGCUGUUGAAGGUUAAGCACUUUCACCGCAACGAUGUCAGCGUUUUCAUAGUUCAUAGCGGCUUUAUAAACCGACCCAAAACUUCCCGUGCCGAUCAGAUUAUUUGAGGAGAACCCAUUUGUAGCCCUGAAGAGCUCAUCGUAAGAUACUUUCAUGUGUCGGUUUCUUAAGGAAAACCUCGACAACGGCUUUCUCUGUGAGUUUUUUAUCAAGUGAUGUAUCCCAAGCAAGCACAUGAUUAUAAUCAAACAUAAAAUUGCUCCACAGAUAGGAAUGAGUAUUACCUUGAGUUUAUAAUCAGAGUGAUGUUUUGCUGCAAAGGCAUUUGAAGUGCAUUUCGGUAAGUGUAAUUCUGGAAUUCCGCCGCAGAGUUUACUAUUUCCGAUAAGCGAGACUUCGCUCGCAUUCUUAAAGACCCCUUUCAUCGGCACUCGACCCUCAAAACUGUUGAAGGAGAGAUUCAAGUUUCGUAGAUCUGGGAGCUCAUCAAGAAAUGCGGGUAUUUGGCCCGAGUAGAAGUUUUUUGAGAGAUCAAGCUCCUUAAGCCCUCUUAAAUUGCUAAUGGAGGAAGGAAUGGACCCUCGAAAUAAGUUAUUCUCUAAAUGAAGAAUUUCCAAGAUGGUGCAUUUGCCGAUGGCAUUUGGAAUCUCACCAGAGAGCCUAUUAUUUGAGAGAUCAAGCUCCCUGACAUUUAUCAAGUUGCCCACUUCUGAAGGUAAUGAAUCGUUCAGUAAAUUAUACGACAAGUCGAGGAAGUUUGCGAGCGAUGAAAUGCUCAAAACUUCUUUUGGAAUGCUUCCACUUAGCCUAUUAUUCGAUAGAUUUAACAACUCCAGCAUUAACAUGCUGCUUAAUGUCGGCGGAAUGGCUCCUUCAAAUUCAUUGCUGCUGAGAAACAGCUUGUCCAUUCGUAUUAGGUUGCCCAAAGUGAGAGGAAUUUCACCUGAGAGCAUGUUGUUCGACAGAUCCAAGUACUGUAAUUGCCAAAGAUGACUGAUUUCUAUGGGAAUGGUGCCUUGAAAAUCGUUAAUGCUCAUAUCAAGAUGAGUUAGAUUGAUGAGCUUCUCAAUCUCAGCAGGUAAAAUUCCUGAUAUUUGGUUGUUAUUGAGUGCCAAAUAAUUAAGACUAGUGGAAAGAUUGCCUAUUGAUUUGGGGAUCGUGCCUUGAAGUAGAUUGUCUCCUAGAUCCAACCCUUGGAGACUGGUGCAGUUGGUCAGUGCUGUAAUGAAGCUCCAAUCACUAGGCUUUCUGGCUUUGAGUCGAUUGCCAGGCAGUUCAAGCCACAAAAGACUCUGCAAGGCUCCAAGGCUCGGCGGUAUCGUGCCGUGGAAUGCAUUUAUCCCUAGCUCAAGGUCGUUGAGCUCAGAAGCAUUGGACAAGGAUGCCGGAAUUUGCCCCCUGAGCUGAUUAUAAUUCAUAAGAAAGACUUGAAGGUUCGGAAGAACAUUUCCGAUAUCGGAGGGUAGAGUUCCCUCGAGUUCAUUAUAAGAGAGUUCUAUGUCCUUCAGGGAUGAUAGAUUGUAAAGGGAUGAUGGUAUCUCUCCUGUUAAGUAGUUCCCAUUGAGAAAGAGAUAUUCGAGAGAUGAAAGUCGUCCAAACGAGAUUGGGAUCGACCCGGCGAGAUAAUUAAGAGAGCAGUCCAGAUAAGAGACGAACGGAAGUUCUGCAAAGUGAGGAAUUUCACCAUGUAGGUUGUUUCCUUGUAGUAAAAGCUGGCUCAAAAAGGAGAGGUUCGUAAGAGUUGACGGAAUGGUUCCUGUGAGACUAGUGAAUUGGAUUUCAAGUAUGUUCAAGGAGAGAAGGCUACCUAAGGAUGGAGGCAUGGCUCCUGACAAGUUAUUGUUAUCUAAAGCAAGAACUAGUAGGGAGGAGAGGUUGCCGAGUGAAUCUGGGAUGGACCCAGUAAAGCUAUUGAAUUUUAGAUCAAGGUAUUGAAGCUGAGCAAGAUUGCCCAAAGUAGCAGGGAUGGCUCCUGUAAGAUUAUUGUAGCCUAGAGUUAACCAUGUUAACUUUUGGAGAUAGCCAAGCUCUGGUGGAAUUCCCUCUAUGAGAAAGUUACUCCUCAGAUCGAAAACCUGAAGCUCUUUACACUGAGUUAGAUUGGAAGGGAUUGUUCCUUGUAACAUGUUCCACCUCAGGAAAAGCUUUCUAAGACUGGAAAGAUGCGAUAGAGUUCGCGGGAUCUCACCGUUGAGCUUAUUAUGUCUCAAGUUGAGCAGUUGAAGAUUAGAGCAAUUGCCGAGCGAAGACGGGAUCGUUCCGCGAAGAGAAUUCACACUCAGAUUGAGAUAUCGCAGCCUGCGUAGGCUUCCUAACUCCUCGGGGAUGCUCCCCUCUAGUUUGUUGUCAGACAGGUCGAUCCUCUGGAGGAAUGUGAGGUUGGCUAUGGAGGGCGUUAUGAAACCGGCCAGGCCGAGAGACAUGAGGUUGAGGGCCGUCACCCGGUCGGGAUGGCGGCGGCCGCAAGAGACACCGCGCCACCUGCAGUGGUGGAGAGAGCCGUUGUUCCACGAGGAGAGUGCUCCAAACGGAUCGUCGUCGACGAGGGACUUGAAGGAGAGGAGGGCGGCGCGGUCGGAUGCGGCUUGUUUGAUCCCGGCGGCAGCGGCGCACCAGGCGUUGGAGGUCACAUACAGCAGAAUGAUGAGAAAAAAUAGUGCACGGAAGCUUUCCAUUCUAUGAACUAAGACAAGAGAAUGCUAAACCUAUAGCAAUCCUGCAGUUGCUCUUCGUUGGUAUUUAUUAAUCUUGGUAACUGGAUACAAAACAAACUAACGACCAAGCUUAGUCAAAAAGCCUAUAGUUGCCGUAAGGUAGUAAUACAAUGGCGUGUGGAUACUUUUGUACUAGUGCUUUAAUACUUCCGCAAAAUGUCACUAAGAGUGCGUUUGGUUCAGGUUAUCCUGACAGGAUUACAAGCAAUUCUGUCAGGAUUGUUAUAUUUAGUUUAUCGGAUAUGUACUCUGUUCGGUAUUGUAGCAUUACAAAAAAUGUAUAAUAUAUUACACCAAAAAUAUUACCGAAGGGGUGUGUAUUUUGGAUUACUGAAGGCGGCUAAUAUUUUUGCCGCCGCCGCCGUCCGCUCCCACAGCAUGAAGAGGAAGAGGAAGAUGAAGAGGGCAAGGGCAAAAUAGUCGUUUCACAGUUCUACUGUUAAAAAAUUAACAGUUCUCUAACAGAUCCAAAUUACGUAUUUGAAUAUAUUAUGGUUUUUGCAGGAAUAACUUAUAAAAAUUGAAAUUUACAGAAAUAUACUUGCUAUUCACCAUAUUUGUAGGGACCUGUAUGAAAUUAAUCCUAAUUUAUUGUGAAAUUUGUGGAAAUUGGUGUGGAUUGACUUAGUAGGGGUGAGUCGGGUGACUGAAGUAAACGAUAAGAGUAGUCGACGCAAUAGAACAAUUAUUGAAGGUAAUUUAUUUAUAGGUAAAAAGUGUAUGGAGACCCCCUCAACUAUACGUUUUUCUGAAAGAGCCCUCAUAACUUUUUUUUUACCCUUUUUCAAAAAGGAAAUUUCCUCACUUCCCUUCUAAAGGCAUGUAUUUACACACAUGCCCUUAUAAGGAAAAAAAAUAUCACUUUUUAACAAAAAAAAAUCAAUAGUAAAGAGGUUUCUCAGUCCAAAUAAAAGAAAAAUGGAGGGAACAAAUUUCAGAAUGGCCUAUACGACGGGAUCUCCAUACAUUUUUACCUAUGGAGGUAUUAAACUUGGAAGGGAUAAAUGCAUAAAAACUACUAAACUUUAAAAUAUUGUCAAAUGACCCUCUAAUUUAAUUUAGCAACUAGAUCUUCUAAAAUAAUCAAAUAGUUUAAUUGAUCAACUUUCUCAAGAAAAGCCAUUUUGGUAGCACAUUUUGCAGAUCUAAUCUUGCAAAUUUUCAAAAACACACAAAAAAAACUAUUUCUUCUCUUUUCGUGAUAAAAUUAAAAUACGAAGAUUGAAGAAUAUACAAACUAAAUCCAUCCUUCAUUUCAAUUUAUUGCUUUUCCCAAUUCAGCAUUAGAAUAAAAAAACGCAGAUUUUAAUACAAUUUGAAGCUUCACCAGAUCACAUGCAAGAAAUUUGUUGAAAAUGGGCAUUUAAUUAGUAACUUUCAAAUAUAGGAAGGGAGUCAUUGAAUUAUUUAAUAAUGUUUAAGGUGUGUAAUUGUCAAAAUUAAAAACUCAUGAAUCUAUUUGCCAAAGCUCAAAAGUUUAGAAAGUGUUUGUACUUUUUUAAAUAUUAGAAAUGAGUGCUGCUAGGUAUUUUAAUAAACCAUAUAAUUUUUAAGGGCAAUUGCUAAUAUAAAUUUGAAAAGUUUCAGAGUUUCUUAUUUACUCCUUUAGAAGGCUAAAAUAAAAAAUAUUCUUUUAAUGUUUCAAGUUUUUUCAAAUAUAUCUCUCAAGUUAAAUUCUGAUAGUGAGCUGUCAGUAUAACUGUUAUUUCUAUAAAAUUAUCAUUUUAUUCUUUCAAAUUUAUCCUUGUACCAUCAUCAACUUUCAAGUUGCUGGGCUAGGGUCCAAAAACUUUGGCCCGGCACAGCACGGCCUGACUUUGGGGCCGGGCCGUGCCGGGCUUGUCUCCGGCUGGUUUCGGCACGGGAAAUGUGGGCCGUACCGGCCCGGCACGGCCCACAUUACACCCCUACGUACAGGGGUGUAAACAAGCCGAACACGAGCGAGCUGAGGUCAGCUUGUGUUCAGCUCAUGUUCGGCUUUUUUAUUAAACGAGCUGAACACGAGCCGGCUCGUUAAAGUAAUCUUGAGCCGAAAAUUCAUCUCGUAUUCGGCUCGUUUAUUAACGAGGCGAACACGAGCUAGCUCACGAGCUGGCAAACGAAUAUAAAUUAAAAAAAAUUAAAUUUAAAUAUAUAAAAAUAAAUUUAUAAAAUUUUAUCAUUAGACUUUGAUCUAAUAGUUGAAACUUUACAUAUAAAAUGAGUUUUUUAUAAUUAAGCUUGCAUUUAUAUUUUUAUUUUGCUAAAAAUUAAUAAUAAAAAAAUAUAUUAUAUAUAAUUAUUUAUUUAUAUAUAAAAAUAUAAAUUAUAUAAAUAUUAAAUAUAUAUAUUCGAGCUGUUAUCGAGCCGAACAUGAGCGAGCUUAUCUCAGCUCGUGUUCGGCUCAUUUAUUAAACUAGCUCGCGAACAGCGAGCUAGAUUGCCACCCCUACCUACGUAUACACCCCUAAAAGGGAUGCAUGUUAUGGGCGACACAUUCUAGAGUCGGAUGGUUUGUAUUUAUGGCAUUGAUGCGACAAGUAGAAUACGUGUUUGUCUAUCAUACACUCCUAAAACCGAGUAUAUGUGUAGCAUCACUUAUAAAUUAAUUAACAUCCAAUAAUUCGUCCUAUUUCAUGGACUAGUCUCCUCCGUUACUCGGUCAUCUCUACUAAGUCAAUCCACUAAUUUCUUUAUUACAAUAAAUUAGGUGGUUGUAUCCACUAAUUGUCCAUCAAUUUUCACAAAUUUCUUUAUCACAAUAAAUUAGAUUAUUGUAUGAUGCCGUGCAUGAAUAUGCGUUAGUAAGUGCAUUUAGUUAUCCACUUUGUUCAUUUUUUAUAAUGCAUGAGCGAAUGUGCGGCUGCAAUUAGACGACACUGUAAAAUAAUAUGAAGAUUAUUUUUAAAUAACAUUUGAGUAGACGUCUCCCAACGUCCCUAUAAUAUAGAAUGUAUUGACGUUUCAAAAAAUGCCGUUAUUAUAUCAAACUAAUUUAUUAGAUGAUAAACUUUAAUUAUUAAUUUUAACUUUUUUAUGCUUUAAAGCAAUUUGAUUUCAAAAAAUUCUUAAAAAUUCUGAUACUUUAAGACGUACAUAGUAAUAUUUUAACCAACGCUUUUAAAUAUCAGGCGAUUUUAAAUAGGAUGAUUUUAUGCAUUGUUAAAUAUAAAAAAAAUUGUUCUUAAAUAUUAAUUUUCUUAGUGUGUGGUCUUAGUUAUCUAUUUUGUUUAUUUUAUUUUUACAGUGCAUGAACAUACAGAGCUACAAGUAAGACUAGAUGCAUUUAGCUAUAUAUUUAGGUAAAAUAUAAAAUAAUUGGUUUUCGAACUUAGAAACUCGAUACCAAUUAUUAAGGUUUUCGCCAAUUGCCGUUAGUGACAUUUUGGGGAAGCAUUGUGGUACUAAGGUACAUGAGUAUUCUCACACCGUGGCAUUAGUUGGCAGUAAGUUUGUUAUGUAUCCAGUUGCCAAGUUUAAAUACCGACCAAGAGCUACUGCAGGAUUGCUAUAGCUUUAGCUUUCUUGUCUUAGUUCGUAGAAUGGAAGGCUUUUUCCAUGCACUAUUUUUUCUCAUCAUUCUACUACAUGUGAUCUCCACCGCUCGGCGCGCCGCCACCGCCGCUGCUGGGAUCAAACAAGCUGCAGCAGACCGUGCCGCCCUCCUCUCCUUCAAGUCCCUUGUCGACGACGAUCCGUUCAGAGCGCUCUCCUCCUGGAACAACGGCUCUCUCCACUACUGCAGGUGGCGCGGUGUCUCUUGUGGCCGCCGCCAUCCCGACCGGGUCACGGCCCUCAACCUCACGUCUCUCGACCUAGCCGGUUUCGUAUCGCCCUCCGUGGCCAACCUUACAUUCCUCCGGAGGAUCGAUCUGUCCGACAACAAGCUAGACGGGUACAUCCCGGAGGAGUUAGGAAGCCUACGCCGGUUGCGAUAUCUCGACCUGAGUGUGAAUUCUCUUCGUGGAACGAUCCCGUCUUCGCUCGGCAAUUGCUCUAAUCUUCAAGUACUCAACUUGGCAAAUAAUAAGCUCAACGGUGAGAUUCCGCCAACUCUAUCGCGUCUUUCCGGUCUUAGAGAUAUUCUCCUGAAUCAAAACAUGUUACAAGGGACGAUCCCAGAUUCAAUUGGGAAUCUUUCUUCUCUACUCGUUCUUUCUUUAGAUAACAAUAACCUGUCAGGAGCCAUGCCUCCAUCCGUCGGUAGCCUUCUCUCCUUGAAGACACUUGCAAUCCAAUUCACUAGUCUCACAGGAACCAUUCGGCCCACUCUCACAAAUCUCUCCUCUCUGAAAGAGCUUGGACUACGAGGAAACAACCUUCAUGGUGAAAUUCCUCACUUUGCAGAACUUCUGUUCCUCUCUUUCCAGGACUGCUCUGUUAAUGAUCUCUCCAGGUCCAUCCCAAUCUCGCUCGGACAACUUUCAUCUCUCGAAAAUCUCAUUCUCGGGAUGAACUACUUAACAGGAGAAAUACCGUUAUCCCUUUACAAUCUAUCAUCCCUGAAGAACUUAGAACUCGCUAAUAACCAACUCGAGGGAACUCUACCCUCUGAUAUCGGAAAUGCUCUUCCGAACCUUCAAUUCCUUCAUAUGAGUUAUAAUCAGCUUGGGGGGCGAAUUCCAGCAUCAUUGUCCAAUGCUUCUGAGCUCAGACACCUUGAGAUAACAGUCAAUGAAUUCCACGGCACGAUACCGCCGAGCCUUGGAGCCUUGCAGAGUCUCUCGCGGCUCGAACUGGCUGUCAAUCGACUCGAAGCCAGGACGCCUAGCGAUUGGAGCUUCAUUACAGCACUGACCAACUGCACCGGUCUCCGAGUGUUGGAUGUAGGAUGCAAUCUACUUCAAGGCAUGUUGCCCAAAUCACUAGUCAAUCUUUCCACUAGUCUUCUAUAUUUGACAUUCUAUAGCAGCCAAUUAUCAGGAAUUAUACCUGCUGAGAUUCGGAAGUUCAUCAAUCUAACUUAUCUUGAUAUGGGCAUUAAUAAUUUUCGAGGCACCAUUCCCAUAGAUAUCAGUCAUCUUUGGCAAUUACAGUACUUAGAUCUAUCAAAUAACACGCUUUCCGGUGAAAUUCCUCCUACUUUGGGCAACCUAACACGAAUGGACAAGCUCUAUCUCGGCAGCAAUGAAUUUGAAGGAGCCAUUCCGCGGACAUUAAGCAACAUGUUAGUGUUAGAGUUGUUAAAUCUAUCAAAUAAUAGGCUAAGCGGUAGCAUUCCGCAAGAAGUUUUGACCCUUUCGUCGCUCACAAACUUCCUUGACUUGUCGCAUAAUUUACUGAACGAUUCAUUACCAUCGGAAGUGGGCAACUUGAUAAAUGUCAGGGAGCUUGAUCUCUCAAAUAACAGGCUCUCUGGUGAGAUUCCAGACACCAUUGGCAAAUGCGCCAUCUUGGAAAUUCUUCAUUUGGAGAAUAACUUAUUUCAAGGGUCCAUUCCUCCCUCCAUCAGCAAUUUAAGAGGGCUUAAGAAGCUUGAUCUCUCAAAAAACUUCUACUCAGGCCAAAUACCGGCAUUCCUUGACGAGCUCCCGGAUCUACACUAUUUGAAUCUCUCCUUCAACAGUUUUGAGGGUCGAGUGCCAAUGAAAGGGGUCUUUAAGAAUGCGAGCGAAGUCUCACUUAUCGGAAAUAGUAAACUCUGCGGCGGAAUUCCAGAAUUACACUUGCUGAAAUGCACUUCAGAUGCCUUUGCAACAAAACAUCACUCUGAUUAUAAACUCAGAGUAAUACUCAUUCCUAUAUGUGGAGCAAUUUUGUGUUUGAUUAUAAUCAUAUGCUUGCUUGGGAUACAUCACUUGAUUAAAAACUCGCAGAGAAAGCCGCAGUCGAGGUUUUCCUUAAGAAACCGACACGCGAAAGUAUCUUACGAUGAGCUCUUGAGGGCUACAAAUGGGUUCUCCUCAGAUAAUUUGAUCGGCACCGGAAGUUUUGGGUCGGUUUAUAAAGCCGCCAUGAACUAUGAAAACGUCGACACCGUCGUGGUGAAAGUGCUUAACCUUCAACAGCAUGGGGCUUUCAGAAGUUUUAUGUCUGAAUGUGAGGCCCUGAGAAGCACUCGACACCGAAAUCUUGUCAAAAUUCUUACCUGAGAAGUGUCGAUGAAAGGGAUUUUUAAGAAUGCGAGCGAAGUCUCGCUUAUCGGAAACCCUAAACUCUGUGGUGGAAUUCCAGAAUUACACUUGCCGAAAUGCACUUCAAAUGCCUUUGCAGCAAAACAUCACUCUAAUUAUAAACUCAAGGUAAUACUAAUUCCUAUAUGUGGGGCAAUUUUGUGUUUAAUUAUAAUCAUAUGCUUGCUUGGGAUACAUCACUUAAUAAAAAACUCCAGGAGAAAGCCGCUAUCGAGGUUUUCCUUAAGAAACCAACACAUGAAAGUAUCUUACGAUGAGGUCUUCAGGGCUACAAAUGGGUUCUCCUUAGAAAAUCUGAUUGGCACGGGAAGUUUUGGGUCGGUUUGUAAAGCCGUCAUGAACUAUGAAAAUGCUGACAUCAUCGCAGUGAAAGUGCUUGACCUUCAACAGCAUGGGGCUUUCAGGAGUUUUAUGUCUGAAUGUGAAGCCCUGAGAAGCAUUCGACAUCGAAAUCUUGUCAAAAUUCUUACAUCGUGCUCUAGUUUGGAUCACCGCGGUAACGAUUUCAAGGCCUUGGUUUUUGAGUACAUGCCUAAUGGUAGCUUAGAAGAGUGGCUACAUCCAAAUGCAUGCCAGAAUAGGCCAUUCAGAAGCCUAAGCCUAAUCCAGAGGUUGAACAUAGCUAUCGACGUAGCCUCAGCAUUGGAGUAUCUUCAUCACGAAGGGUCCAUGUUGAUUGUUCACUGUGAUCUUAAGCCCAGCAACAUCCUUCUUGACAAUGAAAUGACGGCGCAUGUGGGCGAUUUCGGGUUAGCAAAGUUUCUACAGCAACCGCCUGACGAAUCAUCAGAGUGUUCAUCUACCAGCACUGUGGGAAUCAAAGGAUCUAUUGGUUAUGUUCCUCCAGGUGAGAAAUAUGCAAUAAAAUACUAACUUUUUUCACGCUUUACGGCAUUUCACGAAAAAAAAUAUAACACAUUUUCAGUUGAUUCCUAAUUAUACUAUAUCUUUUUUUUUUUUUGCCGCUUAUUAUCUUUUGAAGCAAAAACAAGUGAAUAGCAUAAGUUUAAUAAAUAAAAUUAGAAAUUUAGUAUAAAAUAUAGUAGAAAAGAAGGAAAAAAAUAUUGUGGGAAAUAAAAAGGAUAUUAGAUAUUAGCUACGAAAACCGACAUACUAGAGUUAGAAUAAACUGCUUGAUGCUUACUAUUAAAAACUGAUUAAUUAUGAGCACUAAACACACAAGAGCUGGAUCUUUAUUUCUGCAUAUCUAAUGCUAUUGUAGAUUUGAUUUAUAACCUAAAAGAUCAAAUUUAGUUUUUGUAACUAUGGCUUGGAAAACAGCAGAACCAAAUCCAAAUCCAAAUGAAUUCACCUGACAAUCUUGUAUUGUCUGUUUCCAAUUAACAUAUGUUGUGCAGAGUAUGGAAUAGGCUGUAAACCAUCUAGGCUCGGCGACGUGUACAGCUACGGAAUUCUUCUGCUGGAAAUGUUCACUGGAAUGAGCCCCGUCGACGACAUGUUCAAAGAUGGUCUGAGCCUUCGUGGAUAUGUUCGUGCUGCUGCUGCUUCUCCUGAACAUCUCAUGGACAUUAUAGACAGAAAACUGCACUCGGCUGAUAAUGAUAUAGCUUACCAAGAAGAGUGUGUGCGAGAUUGCGUGGUUUUGGUGUUCGACUGCAGUCUCUCGUGCUCAAAUGAAUUGCCAUAUGAACGAUGUGACAUGACGAAAGUCUUAAAGGUGCUGAGGGCAGCAAGAGAGAGGCUUCUAAGCUAAAAGCAGUUUUGCUCCCUAUGCUACGGUUCUCACUAGAGGCAAAUGAAUGUAUGUUUGAACAGCCUCUGCUUUUCCUUAUUUGCAUUUAAAAAGCAACCUUGUGUAAUGAAUAUGCCUAGUCCUUAUGGUUUUUGAUCAUUCCUUUCUAAAAUGAAUAUAAGCAAAAAGAGUUAAGCACUUCAAUUUAUUUUUGCAUCUGCAUACAUUAAUAGCUUAAAAUUCCUAAUUUCUGGCUCAAGUUUAUAGCUGAAGCCUAAUAAAACCCAUCAUUGCCAAAUCUCUGUUGAAUAUAUUUUUCAACAGAUAGCUCCAACCCUAUUUUUAGAAGGUUGUAUAUACAAAUUUUGGAUUUUAAGCACAAACUACAGAAAGAUCAUAAAUAGUAUGAUAGAAGGAGAAUAUUGACCAAGAAAAUUAAGAGGCAUUUACAUUCAAACAAAACGUCACAUACAAAAGCAACAAUCCAAUGCAAGGGACCACAAACACCGAAAAACACAACCAUCACCCAAAGUAUUUGACAUUCCAAAAAGAACACCAGAUACGUACAUAUACCACCCCUCCAGUUCGCGUCCAACACCAUCAUCUCCACCUGCACCCUCGGCUCGUCCAAAACGUCCGCAUACUAUAUACCAGAUACACCAAAUCAAACUCAAAUUCACGAAUCAAAAUCAAAUUUUGAGAAGAGACCCAGAUCGGGAAGUGGGGCGGGGACCUUAUCGGGGUAGGGCAUGGACCCGUCGCCGAGCACGACGUCGCGGGAGCCGUCGAAGGCAACUGCGGCGGAGCCGGUGUAGACGACACGGCGCACGCCGCACUCGAUUGCGACGCGGAGAUUAGGGUUUUGGUGGCCCCAAUGGCUAGGGCGUGGAGUUCGGAGAAAUUGGGGGUGGCGGUGGAGAUAAUGGAGGAUGAGGUUGUAAUAUCCCGGACUCAAUUUAGCAACCCGAUGAAUUACCUCAAUAAGGGUAAGGCUAAAUUGGGGAUGAUGAUGAGCUCUUAAUUGGCCUUCCUGAUCCAAUCUAGCCUCCGUUGAUAUCCAAUUGAGGAUCAGCUGGGAUUGGAGAUGAUGGUAAUAUGUUGAGCUGAGGAUUAAGGUAAAGGAAUUGAGAAUAGAGAUAAGAGGGGAAGAGAGAGAUAGGUAGAGAGAGUGACAGAGAAGAGUUGGGGAUCGAGAGAGAGAAACAGAGAGGAGAGGGAUGGGGAUUAGAAGUAGAGAAGGGAAUUGGGGAAGAGAAAUAGUAAAGAAGAAGAAGGGUUUGGGGAAGAAUUUUUGGGGGAGAAAUAGACUAAUUCAUUUCCAUUCAUGAUCCCUAGCUUAUAAGACAUCCUGAAUUUAUACUAGUUAGUAUCCGUACAGAAAGAAAAUUAUUUAAUCUCUGAGGACUAAACAGCAAUAGUGACAAAAAUAAGAAGUGGGCUGGUUGGGCCGCCAAUUCGGUGGUAGUUGGGCCCUCUUUCUGGGCUUUCUGAGCUCCUCUGCUGCUUGUCGGUUAUUCGGACUCGGGUCCGUCCUUCUCCGCACUACCCACAACCCGGCAGGUCUUGGGUUCGCCAUUUCGCCCCGAUCCGAGCCCCGCUUCGCCCGAUCCAUGCUUAACGGUAAGUGGGCGUCGGUUCCGGCCUUCUCCGCAUCAUCCACCACCCGGCGGAUAUCGGGUCCGCGUUUUACGCCCGCUCCGGUGAUCCGACCGCCCGAUCCGCCAGCUCUCUUCUUCGCCCCAAUUACCCAGGUUCUGUCGGGCUUCCUUCUCCGACCUCGAUCCUCCCAUUUCCCCUUCAGCUCCGACGAUGCCCUAGCCCCGCCGGUUCACCCUGCCGGAGUUCCGCCUGACGCCCUUCUCCGUGCUAUCCUCCGCCAGCGCCUGAGCCCCUUCGGAGGCGCUUCCCACCGGACCACUCCGCCGAGCUCGCUCCUCUCCCACCUCCUGCUGUCACUUCCCUGCUCUACCUUGUAAAGUUGACAUUUUUACUACUUCCCCAUGCUAACUACUACUACUACUUCUACCAUUUAUUCUUUAGGGUUGUUACAGAGGUGGUGCUGCUGCUGGGGUCGAUGUGGAAGACAACGACGGAGCCGGUGAGAGCGGGGAUGACCUGGGCCCGGUCCGAGAAGUCGACCGGGAGGUGAAACUGGCCGGGUGAACCGGGUUGGUGGACCGGUCCCGGGGAAGGGGAGGGAUGGGCGACGCGGACGGCCCAGUGGUCGGAAGAGACGAGCGCGGCGCCGAGGGAGCGGUCGAGGAAGCUGGACCGGCCGAAGCUGACGGCGAAGGGGAUCCGGUUCGGCUCAGCCACCAGUGUAUCGGGUUCGGAGAUCGCCAUUGAGGGGGAUUGAAGGGGGAUAGAGAGGGAGGGGUAGGGGGAACGAGGGAGAAAGGGAGGAGGAAGGGUAACGAGAAAGAGAAAACGGCGCCGUUAAGUGUUCGUAACGGCGUUUCUCACGCACGCGCUCGUGACGACCUGUUUCGUACCAAAUCACAUACAAUGGAAUCAAAAUUUUCAACCAUGUGAUUCAAAUUUAGUGAUGCGAACGGGACGGAUGUCGGAGCGUAGAUCCGCCGCUCCCCCCGCCCCCCACUAUUAAAAUCCCGUCCCACCUUCCCUCUGGAAUCUGUGACAAAUUAAAAAAAUGAAUCUGUAAUUCACUCCGUCGAAUAACCCAUUCUUUGCCGGCGUUCCGAAUCUGUCCCACCAACAAAUAUUUUUUUUAUAAAUUAUAAUAUUAUUUUUUUUUUUAGAAAAAUAUAGUACGCUACCCGCUUCAUUCAUUCAGGAAAUAAAUUUGGCUAUAUGGGUGAGACAACAAGGCCUCUAGAGAGAUAAAAAGCAGAGCGAAGACGAAAAAGAAAAUAAAAAAAUAAAAAAAUAAAAAAAUUGAGAAAAUCAAUCAUGGUUCGAAGAACAAGUCAAAAGUUUUGAAUGCAUGAGAAAUAAGAGUAUCAACUUAUUUUAUUUUAAACUUUUUUGUGAACAUAUUGUUUUUUAGAAAUUAUGUUAGUAUGCUAUCAAUAAUACCAAACGCUUGGUAUUAUCGAAUUUUCAGCCGUUGGAUGGAAGGAUGUACGGUUAGGAUGAUAGUAAUCCUCUAGGGUUGAGUAGGUGGCUGGUUGAAUAGUAUAAUAUAACGGGUGAAAAUAGUCAAAAAAUAGAUUUUACGGCAGAAAAAUUAAUAGUAGCAAGAACUUAAUAUUGUUGAUAGUAUACUAGCUGGACUCAUUUUUUUAGAGAUAUUUUCUUAACAUAUAAUGGAAUAUCUGCUUUUGAUUACAACACAGUAUUGAUGGCAAAAGUAAUAUGGCUAUAAAUAAUUGUGCCCCCAAAUAUUACAUUUAGUGGCGACAAAUAUUUGUCACCAGAUAUCACAUUUAGUGAUAACAAAUAUUUGUCACCAUAUUUUAUAUUUAGUGGCGACAAAUAUCUGCCGCCUAUAGUUAAACGUUGGUGGUAAAAAUUAGUUGCCGUCGAAUCUUGAUAAUUGGUGGUGAUAAAUAGUUGCCACCAAUAAUUUACUUUGGUGCCGAAAUAUUAUUGCGAUGAAUUGUUACAAUUUGGUGGCCGGUGGGACCUUUUGUGGCAUGAUAAUUUUUGUCAUCAUAAUAGGUAUGUCGACAUUUUUUAUAUUCGAUGAUGAUGAUUUUGGACACACUAGGUUGAACAAAAAAAUAAUGAAUAAAAAUAAUAAAUUAUUUAUAUACGAAGAAUAAAAAAAUGCUAAACAAAAAGAAAUUAGUAGGAGCAACAACUGUAACAAACUCAUGAGUUAUUUUUUGAAUGUUGAAUAUAUUACAAGAUUUUAACUCAUUUAUUUGUUUAAUUGGGAAUGAGCUUAUUAAAUAAUUUGUGUUUAUUUAUUAUGUAUGAUAUAUAUUUCUUAUUAUAUAAAAAUACUAAAAUCACAUUAUUUAAUAAAAUAUAUUAUUUUUAAAUAUUAUGUUAAAAAUAUGAUAGUAUAAAUUAUUAUUUAUAUUAUUUUUAUCUGUUUAAAAGGCAUAAUUUAAAUAAUAUUUAUAUUUACAAAAUAAUAUAGAAUUACCGGCAUUUAUUAAUACUGGAAUCAAAAAUAAAAUACUAGCAUUUAUAUAAUAUUGCAAAUUAAAUAAUAAUUACCGGCAUUUAAUUAGUGCCGGAGAUGACUAACAAAUACAAGUAUUUAAAUAAUGUCGGUAAUAGUCAUCUCUAUAACGACAUUUAUUUAAUGUUACUAAUUACUGAACAUUAACGGCAAUCUAUUUAAAUGCCGGUAGAAGAUUUACCAACACGAGUAUAAGCGGCAUUAAAAGCUGAAUGCCGCUAAUAGUUUUUGCAGCAUUUUUUUGACUUUCGGCGGUAAUAACUGAAUGCCGCUGAAACACAAUUUUUUUGUAGUGUCAAUAGAAGAAAAAAGGCAAAACAAAAAAAAACAAUAAUAGCAGCAGCAGAAGAAGAAAAAGAAUGAAUAUAGUAAUAGAGCAAAAUGUAUAUUUGUUGCUUUAUUUUACUAUCCAUCUGCUAUUGCCGUUUUUCAAAUGGCUUUAGAGAGUGAAAGAUAGAGGAAAGCUUCAUGUGCGAGAGGAGUAAAUUUUUAUGAAUAUAGUGAUUGAUAGGGAUGUGCAAAAAGAUAGGAAGAGAGAAGGAAAGAGAGAAAAAUUCAAAACUACAACGCGGCAAAAGAAGAAAAAGGAAAACAGGAAGCAGACAAAUCUUGUGAUCAACUAGUUCCAUACUCUCGUGGCGAGAUGUGAUGGCAAUGGGUUGGAGCAGCAGGAUACGUGGCGGGAUCAGCGGAUUCAAAACUAGGAUGUAUAAAUACAUCUUAUAUGUCGCAUUUUAAAAACCUCAUUAUAAAAAUUCAAAUUCUACAAAUUUUUAUAUAUAAACUUUUUAUAUAGUAUCGAUUGUAUCUAGCAAAGUAGAUUUUAUAAUUUUAUAAUAUUAAAUUUUAAAAAAUAAUUUAGUAUAUGUAAUGCACUGAUAGACUGAGUGCUAACAAUAAUUUAUUACAGUUGAGAAGAAAAGAUAAAGUGGUGAUUGAAAAAUAUUUCGUACCAUCGGAGUGUAAAACUAAAUUUUGUAGUCUACAUUUCUAAAAUAUUAUUCUAAAAAUUUAAACUAUGUAAUUUUUUAUCCAUAACUUUUUAUAUGAUUUAUAUAGUAUAUAUUAAAUAUAAAUUUUAAUUUUAUAAUAUUGAUUAGUUAAAAUAUGUUGUACAGUAAAAGAUCAGAGAGAGAUUGAUGGAGGAAGAGAGAGAGAGUAGGAGAAUCUAGAGAGAGAGAGAAAGAGAGAGAGAGAGAGAGUCUAGAUGGUAUAAAAAAAAGGUCCACCCCACUCCUGACGUAGAGAAUGUAGGGAUACAAAUUGGGUGGAUCUGGGAGUGGAAGCCCCACCCCGCCUCCCGCCACCACUAGCAAAAUCUCGUCUCGCCUCCCGUCCUGAAUCUGUGACAGGUUAAAACAUACGUUCCAUAAUUUGCCCCGCCUCUUAACCCGCCUCCCACCGGCGCCCCGAAUCCGCCCUGCCAACUAAUAUUUUUUAUAAAAUUAUAAUAUUAUUAAUAUUUUGUAAAAUAUAAAUUAAUAAUUUUUAAUAAUAUUAUAUAUAUAAUUUAAUAAUAUCAAUUAUAAAAUAAAAAAUAUUAAUUAUAAUUCAAAACAAAAUUCAAAAGUUUCAAAUGAAUUAGAAAUGAGAGUACUAACUUAUUUGUAUUUUAAACUUUUUUUGUAAAUAUAUUAUUUUUUAGGAAUAUUUUUUUAAAAUAUAAAUUAUUUUCGGGGCGGAUUCGGAACAGAUCAUGGUGGGGUGGAUUCGGGACGGGUCAAAAUUUUUUCCGUUUUUGUCCCGAAUCCGUCUCGGAUCGUAAAAUUUAUCCAAUUUUCUGCUCCAAAUUCGUUUAUUUUCUCCCAUUUAUUGUCCCGUCGGGGCUGAUCGGACCAGAGCUCCACCAACCCAGAUCUGUUUGCAUCCUAAGAGAAUGGGCAAAUUAGCGUAACAGAACACCAUGUUGGAUUUCAACUGAAAAAAAUGGACCCAACCCCGCUUAGCCUCUUGUUUCGCUCAAAUCGACAUGGAGAAUGGGCACCGACAGUCCCUUGAGCAAGUGGCAAAGGGCUUGGUGGUUGGUACCCGAGAUCCAAGUUCGAAUUCUAGUUGAUUCAUAUUUCUAGCUAAGUUUAUUUCUAAAUGAAAUAAACGAAGCGGGUAGUGUACUAUCUAUCUCUCUCAAAAAAAAAAAAGAAAAAAAAAACAUGGAGAAUGGGCAAAGAGAAGAAUUGGGAUGAAAACAAAGUGGGCUCCACUCCAACCCUCAUUUGUCAAAAUCAACCGGGGCGUCACAUUCGACGACUUCAACUAGUGUUAUUAUACACAUUAUAUAGUGUAAAUGGAUGCAAUGCACCAAUACACUCGGUGCUGCUAAUAAUUUAUUGUAGUUGAGACAGAAAAGAUAGAGUAAUGCAGGAGAAAUAUUCAUAUAUCGAGUGUAAAAUUAAAUUUUAUAUAUUACAUUUCUAAAAUCUCAUUAUGAAAAUUUAAAUUAUAAAACCUUUUACACAUAGCUUUUUAUAUUAUUUAUAUUCUAUGUAUUAAAUAUAAAUUUUAAUUUUAUAAUAUUCAUAAGUUAAAAAUAAAUUGUACACUAAAAAAUGAAAAAGAGAUUGAUGGACAAUAAAACAGAAAGGAGAAUUGGGUAAGAAUAGGGAUGUCAAUGAGUAUGGAUAUCCGAAAUUUUAUCCGAACCCGAACCCGAAUGAAACGGAUAUAUCCAAUACUAAAUGGAUAUGGAUUUGGAUAUGGAUAUCAAAAAUAGAAACCCGACGGAUAUGGAUUCGGAUAUAGAUUUUGACUGUACCAAACCCGAACCCGAACCUGACCCAAACCCGAAUUUAUUUUGUAUUAUAUGUAAUAUAUAUAAAAAAAUUUGAUGUUAUAUUUGAAUUUGUAUUUUAGAAAUUUAGAUUUAAUAUAAUAUAUUUCGAAAUAUUGAAAAAAAAAUAAUUAUUUCGGGUUCAAAUUUUCGGAUUCGGGUUCAGGUUCGGGUCUCGGGUUUGGAGUCGGGAUCAGGUUUGGAUUUUUGAAAAUUCGUCACGAAACCGACCCGUUGACAUCUUUAGGUAUAAAAAAAAAAGGUGGGUCUCACCCCCACCUUCUCCACCAGAAACUCAGUUUAUAAAAAAAAAAGGUGGGUCUCACCCCCACCUUCUCCACAGCUAAUGGAUUUCUUUGAUCCCAAAGAAGGCGCAAGCUAUUGCACCAGAGCAUUUCCGACCUAUUAGCCUUACCCAUGCUAUUAGCAAAAUUAUCUCAAAGGUGCUCGCGACCCGCUUGCUGACAGUCAUUGAUUUACUCAUUGACCCGCAUCAAACAGCCUUUAUCAAGAACCGUAGCAUUCACGACAGCUUUGUAAUGGCUCACGAGGUUCUUAACGCUGCUAGAAGGCGGAAGAAAAAAUUGGCCCUUUUAAAAAUUGAUUUCUCUAAGGCUUUCGACAGUGUUAGCUGGCCUUUUCUGCUAAAUCUCCUAAUCUGUCGUGGUUUUGACAUUAAAUGGACUACUUGGAUCUCAAAACUUUUGUCCUCCGCUUGCAGUUUUAUCCUCGUAAACGGAUGCCCGGGCAAGUUGCUUCGUCUCCGACGGGGACUAAGACAGGGCGACCCUAUCUCACCUUAUCUCUUUAUCCUUGUGGCUGAUGUUCUGCAGAGACUUGUGCAGCGUGCUUCAUCCGCCAAUCUCCUUCCGUCACCCUUAGGCAUUACUGGCCUUAGUCCUCUUUUGCAAUAUGCGGAUGACUCUCUACUUUUUUGCGAUGACAACGUCGAAAACCUUCUCAAGUGCAGGACACUACUUCAGGCCUUCUGCCGUUCGUCAGGUUUAUCAAUCAAUUUUGCGAAGACAUCACUCUAUGUUGUUAAUCUUGCUGAACCAUCUCAUGCUUCACUUGCAAAUUCCUUCAACUGCUCUAUGGGUCACUUCCCAUUAACAUACCUUGGACUGCCACUUUCGCCGGCUAAGCUCCCAACUUGUGCUUUCAACUCUCUUAUUGACAAGUUCCAUAAAAGACUCUCGGGAUGGAAAAGUGCUCUACUAUCACCGGCUGGUCGAGUUGUUUUAAUUAAUUCAGUUCUUACAAAUUUACCAAUCCAUUACCUAUCUGUUUUUAUUUUACCUAAGGCUAUUACCCACCAGCUGGGGGAGCUCCUGCGACGUUUUCUGUGGAGGAAAUCUUCAUGUCCUAUAAGAGAAGGUGUACCUCUAGUCACCUGGGAUAUUGUGGCUAGACCUAAAGCUUUGGGCGGACUUGGAAUAGCAAACAUCUACUACAAGAACUUGUCUCUUCUCUGCAAGUGGCUUUGGAGAUUUGUCUCGCAACCGGACUCACCUUGGGCAGUUUUAAUUAAAUCGGUAUAUUAUUCCACUUUCCCUCUCAGCUGGAAGCAUCCCCGACAAAGCUCUCUUUCUUGGCGUAGUGUGCUAAAGACGUACCCUAUCUUCAACAUCUCACACUCUUUUGUGGUUUAUAAUGGGAUGAAGACAUUUUUUUGGUUAUCAUCUUGGUUAGGCACACCCCUGAUGGAUCAAUUUCCGGCUCUAUUCUCCUACUCUGCUCACAAAUUUGCUCUUGUGUCCGAGGUUUUUAUUGAUAAUCUGUUCUCAUUACCGGUCAUCUCUUACCCGUCCAUCAUUGCACAUGAGGAGUUUUCGACACUCUGCCACAGGUUAUGCAACUUCCAAAUUUGCGUCGGCCCCGACAUCUGCUGCUGGAAAUGGACUCCCCAUGCCACUUUCUCCACUGCAUCAGCAUACAAUCUGUUCUUUGCUGGAUCCACAUUCGACUCGACUCCGAUCACUGUUUGGUACUCUUUUGCGCCACCUCGAGUGCAGUUUUUUAUGUGGCUUUUAUAUAAAAACCGAAUUUUAACUCAUGACAACCUUCGGCGUCGUGGCUGGAUUCUCGCCUCAAGAUGUGAGCUUUGCUUUAAUGCUGGCGAAGAUAUCAUUCACUUAUUCCUCCAUUGCCCCUACUCCCUAGCAGUGUGGGCAUCUCUCAAUCUUCUUCUUUGUCUACCUCAACCAUCUUUAUUGGGACUUGGAGACUCUUGGGCAAUGUGGUCAUCUCGCCUUCCUAAGGAUAUUCGAAAGGUUGGGAACACCAUCUUCAGCUGCUUCGCUUGGUCCAUCUGGUCUGAGCGAAAUCGUCGCAUCUUCGACAACACUUGCUCUACUCCCCUCUCCACCGCAAGCCGUAUUCGCAUGCUAAUCGCUGAUGUCGAUAUUUCAUCUUUGACGUGAUCACUUUGUGUCCCCUCACUUUUUAAAUUUUUAGUUGCUAUUAUAUACUGUUUGUCUGAAACCUUGUAUUAUUGUUAAUCUUUCUUUAUUAAGUACACCUUGGUCAGCCCUUUUGGGCCGACCUGUUUUCUUUUUCAAAAAAAAAAAAAAAAAUUUGAAGUGAAAAAAAAAAUGGAGCGCCACGUAGAGCAUGCAGGGAGAGAGAAGAAUUGAAAUGAAACAAAAAUGGGCCCAUCCCAACCUGUUUUGCGCAAAUUAACAUGGUAGCGCCAUGUUGGAUAUAUAGAAUAUGUAGAUUUUCUGAGAAGAAAUGCUAAAUCUACAACUUAAAAUCUCUACAAUCUCUUAUCCAAUGGUCUUUGGAUCUUAUCGCACUUUUUCUAGUCCCUAAUGGCAAGAUUUGUAGGAAAAAGAUGUCUUUUGUAUUAAUAAAAUGGUAAGAUUACAACUGAACAAGUAGUUUUGAAAUUGCUUCUAAAUUUUUAUUAUGUUGUGUUGAGAACCGUUUCGCUUUUGAUUUACUCUAAAAUUGAGUGAUUUUAGUCAGGAAAAUAAAAACUUUUGCCAAAUUAACUGAUGAUUUUAUUAAAUUUAAUAAAAAAACUAAAUUAACAGUUAAUAAGUAAUAGAGUUAUUAAAUUUGAUAGCUAAACUAAGUAUGAAAACUCAAAUAAAAAAACGACAUGGAGGGGCUCUCAAUAAAAUAUAUAUAUAUNUGGAGGGGCUCUCAAUAAAAAAAAAAUAUAAAUAUAAUUAAGUGAGUUAUUUCAAAAUGCCUAGAAAAAUGUUCAUAUAUUAUUUAUAUCUCUCACUAAUUGUUCUAAUGCAAAUGGUAAAGUGAUGAUUGGUACUCAAGGUCAUAAAUUUGAAAGUUAAUUAUUUUAUAUUUUUAAUUAAAUAUAUUUUUUUAAAAAAAAUUAAACGAAGCGCCGUGCACUACACAUUUCCUUUUAACCAAAAUUAUUUGGUUUAUCAAAAUACCGGGCGACAUUCAUUUAUAAUAGAAAAAAAAAAUGUCAUGCAUUUUCUAAACUUUAGAGAGUAGACAAAUAGAUCCCCGAGUUUCUAAUUUUGACAACUAAACAACCUAAACAUUAUCAAAUAAUUCAAUCAUCCUUCCUCUAUAAGAAAGUUGCUAAUUAAAUGUCCAUUUUCGGCAAAUAUCUUGCGUGUGAUUUUGUGAAGCUUCAAAAUAUAUUAAAAUUUGCUUUUCUUAUUCUAACGCUUGAGAAAAGUAAUAAUUAAAAUGAAAGAUGGAUUUAAUUUGUAUAUUCUUCAAUCCAUAGAUCUUUGUUUUGUUGCGAAGAGAGAAAAAACAAUUUUUUUGUUUUUUUUUUUUUGAAACUUAGCAAGAUUAGAUCUGCAAAACAUACUACCAAAAUGACUUUUUAAUUAGUAACUUCUCUUGUGAAAAUUGAUCAAUUAAACUAUUUGGUUAUUUUAGUUAAUUUGAUUAUUUUAGAAGAUCUAGUGGCUAAAAAGCAAUGCUACAUAUACAUUCCAUUUGCGGUGUAUAUCCUACACCUUAUCCAUCCAAUGGGUGAGGUGUUUUCACCAGUCAGUUAACGUGACUGGUAGUUAACACCCUAACCAUUGAAAAAUACCACUUGUACACUCCAUCCGGAUGCACAUUAAGUAACUGGUGAAAACAUAUAAUCCAUUGGAUAGGUGAGAUAUAGGAUAUACAUCCAAAUAGAGUGUAUAUGUAGCAUUGCUCUUUUGAUAUGUCUCUAUGUAAAAACGUAUGUUGAUUAUGUUCUAUAGGCAAAUUUGAAAUUUGCUCCCUCCAGUUUUAUUUUAUGUGGAUUGAGAGUUUGAGACACCCCUUCACUAUUGAUUUUUUAAAAACUGAUAUUUCUGUUCUUCUAAGGCCAUCUGUGUAAAUACAUGCCUUUGGAAAGGCAAUGAGGAAAUUCUCCUUUCAAAAAACUUAAGAGGGCUAUUUCAGAACCACCUAUAAUUGAGGGGGUCUCCAUACAUUUUUAUAUAUAAAUAACAAAAAACUUCAAAGACCAUCCCUAUAGUUUCACACUUUCUCACUUUAGUACCAUGUGGUUUAAAGUAUAUCAAUUUAGUGCCCUAUAGUUUAUUUUUCUUUUUUUAUUAUCAAUUUCAUUAAUUUUUUUUUUCUUAAAUUAGUGACAAAGUUAAAACUAAAGGGUACUAAAGUGAAUAUUCGAUAAACAUAGGUGGGUAUCUGAAGGAUUUUGUAUAUAAUUUAACGAAAUAUUAACGAAGAAACUGACGAAAAUAAAAAAAUAAAACCACUUUAAAUCACAAGGUAUUAAAGUGAGAAAGUGCCAAACCACGGAUGGUUUUUGAAGUUUAUCCUAUAAACAAUUAACCUCCAAUAAUUCGUUCUAUUUCGUCCACUAGUCUCCUUGUUUACUCCAGUCACCUCUGCAAAAUGUCAAUUCACUAAUUGUUAACUAAAUCUUCAAGUGGGAAGUCCAAUACCAAUUGGGCAACUAAGUGUAGUAUUGACUUUUGGUCCGAUUGCUAGGAGGGGGAGGGGGGGGGGUGCCAAUUGGGCAACAAGUGUACGGGGGGGUCUUUUCCCAAUAUGUAUACCUUCUUUCGCAUCACAAAAAUGGGAACAUCAACGAUUAUUUGACUAGCGACCGAUGAAAUUGGAGCAAAAUUUUUAAUGGCAAUAGCACUAGUGGACACAGAUUGAGCUCUAGUUACGUAGCACUUAGGGAAAGGAUCUCCAUUUUCAAACUCGAGCAUAGACCAGAUAGCGUACAUUAGCGUUGGAGCCCUGACGGGCGGUUCACGGUGAAAUCUGCCUAUUCGAUGCUGAAUGAUUGGUGUAUAAAGGACGCCCGGACAAGCAAGAUUUGGAACAUUCGAGUACCCCUAAAAGUGAAAGUGUUUUGCUGGAUUGUUCUUAAGAUGCAGCCUCUUACUGUAGACAACCGAUUAAAGAGAGGUUGGACUAGCAACAUAGCAUGCGUGUUGUGUAGGGUUGAAGAGAAAACUGUCGACCACUUAUUCACACGAUGCGUCUUCUCGAGAUUUCUAUUGGUGAUGAUCUUGGAGUAUGCACAGUCUAGAGAUUGGGGGGAUGACGUAAGCUCGGUCUGGGUUAGGUGGAUGACGAGGAUUGGAACGCAGUCGUCGAGUACUACGGUAUCCGGAUUGGUAGCCAGCUGGUGGGUAAUUUGGGAGGUCAGGAACAACGUGAUCUUUAGGAAGACCCAACCGGACCCGUCUUUGCAGCUUACAAGAUUAAGCAACUGACGAAUCUUUGGAGCAAUUUCUACUAGGUAAUUGACGACACGCUUGUAGUCGGUAGUUUUUUUUUUUUUUUCGCCCCCUACGAGGCCUAUGUUGUCUCACCCCAAUAGUUUAGUUCAUCUUUUCAAUUAAUGAAUCGGGUAGCGUGCUAUCUAUUUCUCAAAAAAAAAAAAAUUUUUGAUUAAACAGGGAUAUACCUUAUUUGAUAAAGAGAAUUAUCACGACAAAUUUGAUGGUUGUAUUGAAAUAGUGAUGCAUUGCACAAAUAUACUGGUGGUAGGUGCUUUUAGUUAGCCACUUGGUUCAUUUUUUACAUUGCGCCAAUGUGCUGUUACAAUUAAGUGGCACUAUAAAAAAUUUUCAAUAUAAGAAAGCUUUUUAAAUAAUAUUUGAAAAAAUAUCUCCAAGCUACCUAUAAAAUAGCAAAUAUCGAUAUUUCAAAAAAUAUCGUCAUAUGAUUAUAUGAACCCUCUAUUAUAAUAAAUCAAUUUAUUAGAUGAUAAACUUUAUUAUUAUUUUAAUUUUUCGACGCAUUAAAAUGUUAAGAUUUUAAAAGUUCUUAAAAAUUCUAACGCUUUAAAACGUCAGAAUAUAUUUGAUCGACGCUUGACAUAAACGUCGGUAUAUACGUGGUGAUGUUUUAACAUAUGCUUUUAAAUAUCACGCUAAACUAUAUUAAGACAAUUUUAAAUAUCGUUAAAUAUAAAAAAAUAUAUGUUUAAAUGUUAAUGUUUUUUUGUUAGUGUGGCCUUAGUUAUCUACUUUAUUUAUUUUUUAUAGUGCAUAAAUAUACAGCUACAAAUAGGAGUAGAUGGUUUUAGCUGCCUGCUUAGCUAAAAUAUAAAGUAAUUAAAUUUCGAACUUAAAAACUCGAAUACUAAUUAUUAAGCUUUUAACCAAUUACCGUUAGUUACAUUUUGCAGAAAUAUUGCGGUACAAGGUACAUGAUCAGUAUUCUCACACCAUGGUAUUACUACCUUAUGACAACGAAAUAGGAUUUUGACUAAGCGUCGAAGUUAGUUUGUUAUCUAUCCAGUUCCCAAGAUUAAAUACCAACGAAGAGCUACUGCAGGAUUACUAUGGCUUUAGCUUCUCUUGUCUUAGUUCGUAGAAUGGAAGGCUUUUUCCAUGCACUAUUUUUUCUCAUCAUUCUACUAUAUGUGAUGUCCGCCGCCUGGUGCACCGCCACUGCUGCCGCCGGGAUCAAACAAGCUGCAUCCGACCGCGCCGCCCUCCUCUCCUUCAAGUCCCUCGUCGACGACGAUCCGUUCAGAGCGCUCUCCUCGUGGAACAACGGCUCUCUCCACUACUGCAGGUGGCGUGGUGUCUCCUGCGGCCGCCGCCAUCCCGACCGGGUCACGGCCCUCGACCUCAAGUCUCUCCGCCUAGCCGGUUUCGUAUCGCCCGCCGUAGCCAACCUCACAUUCCUCCGGAGGAUCGACCUGUCCGACAACAAGCUAGGCGGGCGCAUCCCGGAGGAGUUAGGAAGCCUACGCCGGCUGAGAUAUCUCAACCUGAGUGUGAAUUCUCUUCGCGGAACGAUCCCGUCUUUGCUCGGCAAUUGCUCUAAUCUUCAACUACUCA
rnacentral:lncRNA from 1 species